rnacentral:lncRNA from 1 species
GGGGUGUGGGUAGCAGAUGCGCAUAUGUAUUGUCAUGUCUUUGGCGAGCGCCUGGACCAUUGAGCGUGCCGUUUCGUAUCCCCGCGUGCCCACCGGCAGGCUCUCAUCGCCAUUGGUGAGCCGCUGGGCAGCAUGGUCAAUGGCUGCGUGGUCCCGGGUGAGUAGGUCCUCAGGGGUAGUGCGCGUGCUGGUUUCUGCAAUGCGUGCGCGUUGCGCUGCAUGUUUUGUAACGCGCCGUGCGCGUGUAUCUGGUUUUGUCGUGGCCGGCGUGUUUUGGCCGGCUUGCGGGCUGUGGCGCUUGCGGGCUGUGGCUGGGGGCCGUCGGGAGGGCUGCGUUGCCCCAUCGGCGGGGACUUCCGGUGCCGCAGCAGGGCCUUGUGCGCCGGGUUGGGCCUCCUGGGCUUCCCCUACUGGGGAGGGGGGGGGGGGCGGUUCGGCUGGGGCUUGCGUAGUGUUUGCUUGGGCGGGGGCCGCCUCGGGGAGGGGCUGGAGGAACCGCUCGAGGGGGUUGGCCAUUCCAAGAGGGAGGGGGUCCGCCCUCAUGGCUACGGCCACGAUUGCGGCCACGUCAGGCAGAGUGCGCUGUGCGGUGGUUAGGGGGGGGGCAUGGCUGCCGAUGGCUGGAGCGUUUUCCCCUGCACGUCCAGCCAUACUGAGAGCAAGGCUAUCAGGAGCCAUGGGCGCCGAGGUAAACGUGGCGGCAUCAUUGAAGGACAAUCUUCGGGGGGGGGGGGUGCCGUCGAGUGGGCUCCUCGUCCGUGGGACAUGCUUUGCACGCAUGGUGCUGUCGUCGUGCUCAUCAGACGCAUGAGCUGUAAUGCGCAGUCUGUCCCCUAACCACGCAGUGUAGGGGGAGGCUGGCUAGGGGUCGCUGCAUCUUUGUAAGGGGCCGGGGCAUGUCACGUUCGGGCGCGGCACAUUCGUCACUGAUGGCCGGGAAGGGCGAGGUAUGGCGCAGUCUUGUUAUUGGCCUGCGGUUAUCGGCCACAAGCUGCACAUGCCCGCGCUUCGGUGCGCAUUGGGCGCGGCUGGUUUAGGGUGACCCGCCGAAGGAACCGACGAAGGGCGCUGACACGGCAGCUGGCGGGAUGUACUCCGCCGCCGCUGCGGUGUCGUCCACGCCCUGCUUGUGCCUCAUUUACGUGCGCGUGUUCUACGGGGGCUGUGCUGUAACGAGUUACGAUUGCCUCAUAUGGGGCGAUCUGGUGGUGGGGGGGCUCGUCAUUUUAUCGAGGCAGGGCAUUAACCGGGGCUGCUAUAGUUUGAGCACCUGCCGGUGCAUUGCCGCCACUUCAUACGGUUCGAACAACGGCCAAACCGCCCCACGCACACCAGCUUGCAACAGCGCUGUUGCGUUUCGACCUGCUUUCGACCCGCGCCCGCUCCAGCUGCCGCCUUUGCUGCUGCAUCCUGCUGGAGCUCUGCUGUGCGUCUGCUCGAGAUGCAGCAGCCCAGCCGGUGAGACGGGCGCUUGAGCGUUUGCGGGGGGUGGCGCUUUGUUUCGGCGGCAGCUUCCCGGGACAGUUGCGACUCCUGGCGCGUUUGCUGCUGCACGGUGGUUGUGCUGCUGCUUGUGAUGGCUGGCCCUACUUGUGUAAGAGCGGUGCUGCGUCGGGGCGCUGACUCGACUUCGCACUUUUCCCGCCCCUUUCCUGCUGCGAGGACCGGCAGGCGUUGACCUUGGGCCGGCUGAGGUCAAGAUGACCUCCGCCGACGCGUACCACAUGCUAGCGUUGAUGAGCGUGCUGGCGGCCACCGGAAAAGCCGCGGCCAAAAUCCAUGAGGUCAUUAAGACCGUCGGCAAUGAGCUAGGCACUUGCAUUGGGGUGUGUGUGUGUGCGGGGGAGGGGGGGGGCAAGGGGGGGUGCGGUCACAGGGUGCGUGGGGUUGCAAAGAACCUAAAGAGAGGCAGCUUCGCCGACUCAGAUCACCAAAAUGCCUCUCUGCAGCUUCCCUGCACCCUCACCCACCCUGUGACCCACUGCCUUCGCACCCCCCCUAACCCACCCACCCACCCACCCGCCACUGAUGCCAGUGCCUAGCUCCUUGCCGACGGUCUUGAUGAUCUCAUGGAUUUUGGCCGCGGCUUUUCCGGCGGCCGCCAGCACGCUCAUCAACGCAAUCAUGUGGUACGCGUCGGCGGAGGUCAUCUUGACCUCAGCCGGCCCAAGGUCAACGCCCGGUGCCAGCAUGGUACCGGCACCUGCAUGACGCCGCCAAACAGAUUGCGCUGCAGUGCGACGGCAUGUUGGGGAGUUGGGGAGGCGGCGUCGUGGGGAGUUGGGACUGGGGAGCACCGUGGCUAAUAGCGGGGCUCAAGGGCUGGAGCAAGGGGGCGCAUCAUCAAGUGCAUUUUCUUGUAAUUGGGAUGCCCCCCCCCCCUGCUCGAGCUCAAUGCGACCGCAAGGGCUUCUGCCCCUCCUCCUUCGGUAGAAGGAGCAAGCCAACGCGCCAGGAGUCACAACUGUGGGAAGCUGCCACCAAAAGUGCCACCCCCGCAAACUCUCAAGCGCCCAUCUCAUCUGUGCAUGCUGGCAGCCGCCGGUGGCAACAAUCCAGGAAUUCAUCAAGACUGCAGCAAGGAGCUAGCACUGGCGUGAGUUGGGCGGGAGGGUUGGGUUAGGGGGUGGAUGCGGAGCCGGUGGGUCACAGGUGGGCGGUGGGCGGGUGGGGGUGCAGGGAAGCUGAAGAGAGGCAUUUGGUGAUGUGGAUCGUCGACCUGGAAGCUGUGUGGGUGCAGUGGGUGGGGCUGUAUCCAGAGGCUGCGUGCUGCAGGCAGCCUACACAUCCCCCAGCCUGCACAUCCCCCAGAUGCAUCCCCCAUAUGCAUCGCUUUACAGACACCUGCGCGCCGGCCCAGCACGCGUGUACCCUCCCUGUUGCUGCGCCCCUCAGGGUCAAGGGGUGGUCUUCACCGUGGUGGCGCGGCGCCUGGAGGGCCGGUCUUCCGUCAUGGUGGUGCCGCCUCCGAACUCGCGGCCGCCGGCUGCUAAGAAUAAGGCAACGGCAACAAUGGAGCGGCUGCUGAAUAAUGAUGACAUAUCGUGGCAGCCCAACUCAAGUACUCCUUCGUGGAUUUCCGUGACCUGCACUACGGCAUCAUCGGGAUGCUCCUGGUGCGUGCGUGCCUGCAUGCGCGUUUCGUGCGUGUGUGGGUGUGUUGUAUGUAUGCGUACUUGCUUGCGUGCGCGUGCGCAUGCGCUUGUGCGUGUGCGUGUGCGUGUGCGUGCGCGUGCGCGUGCGCGUGCGCUUGUGCUUGUGCGUGUGCGUGUGCGCGCGUGUGUGCUUUGACUGUUAAGGAGGCGGCUCCAGAAUGCCGACAUCGAGGUUCAUUGUCAGGGGCGCCAGAACCAGCAGAAGCUCCUCAAGCAUCCGUAUGCCAGCGCACGUGCAUGUGCGUGCCUGCUGCUCCAAAGUGCCAUUGCUUUGCUGUCGGUGCAGGCACUCCUCAGAGAGGAAUCCCCCGUGCUGCCCCCUGAAUCCCCCGCCCUUACCACAGGACCUCGUCCUGCGCAAUGUCCUGCUGCACGCAACUUGUGCGCACGGGAUCAUUAUUACCGUAAGUGGCUGCUGUGACCUGCACAUGUGCAAUAUGUUUGUUGCAAGUAUGCGUCUGCAUGCAUGCAGGUUCACCUGCUUCCAGUAUAUGUAGCUCAGCCUAUCCAACCCCCUCCCUCGGGCCCGCGACGUGCCGUUGUACAUUCUAUUCAAGACAGCCCUUGGGCACAACUGACUGCACAUGCAUUUGUCUCCACGCAGGACGGCCGCACGCCGCUGCCGCUGCUGCCAUCCAGUGGCUAUGUGUGCACCCAGCAGGGCGUUUAAAAUGGUGGAUGACAACCGCGCGCACGGAUGGGGGACGUGCCAAGCUCGCCGCGAUCGCCGUCGGUCUGCGCGACUUCAUGGCGGAACGGGUCAAGGACUCCACCACUCAAUCGCUGCAAACGGAGCUGGACAUGGGCACAUGGCGGUGGCCGACCUGCUGCGAGGAUGCUGGUCGUGAGCGCCGCCGUUCGGUAGGUCGGGCUUGCGUGGCAGCUAUGCCUCGCUCCUAGUGUGGCUAGCGGUGGUGUUGCGUUACGACGGGUCUCCGAUGGUCUCCAAUGGCCCGGGAGGAAGGUGUGCAGUGCGUAUGUUCUGUGUUCCUCUGCCGGCUGAUACCGUACCGUGCUCCCCACCCCUGCACUGAACGCGCUAUGCCCGACGCUCUGCGUACUCCACGUCCAUCCCAUUGCAGGGCCAGGCGGCGGCUGGCGCUGCGACGAGUGAAGGCGGCGGCGGGUGGUGCGUGGCGGCGGGGCCGGGGGCCACAGGGAGGCAUGCGCCGUGCUGCGUGGGGAGCGGCUGUGGUUCGUGUGUUGGGUAUGUUGGGUGUUUGAGGUUGCGCGACACGGGGGCGCCUGUGGUGACAUGGUGAUGUACUUGCGGCAGUGGAUCAGACCUUGAGUGCACGUGCGCCGGUGCGGUAUGGUGGAGCUGAACACCUGGGUGCAUGUGCGUAUGGCACAUACAGUAGGCGCCGUGCGUCCCUGGCGCUGGCUCUUUGCGCUUAGGAGUUAGGGUGUGAGUGGGGAUCAGACGCACGGAUUGCCGUGUUGCAGAAGCUCUGUGAUGUACGGUAAUGGAUGGAUGAUGAUUUGGCACCACGGCGUUUUUGAGUGCACUCCGUGGUGUGACGGUGUCGCGGAGAAGCGUCGGUAGAUGAUGAGCUGCAAGGAUGGUGAUGAGCCCUGGACGAUGACGGCGUCCCACCCUGUGCAAGUGCGACGGGCGACGCUGAAGGUUGCGCGUUCUGGUGCGCGGCACGGCUGGUUCUCCGGCUCUCGCCCGGUCCAGACUGCUAGCUGUUACGUUUUGGUACACCUAGUACACCCUGGAUACACCUCGCCUACCCGCCGGGGAGGGCCUCGUGAUUCCGGACUGCGCAACCAUGGCGUAAAGCGCGGCCAGCGCGACCCUGCUCCGGCCAGACUGACACGAAACACGUCGAAAUUCCUGGCACGCCAUAGAGACAGCACCCAGCUUCUGAGCUUCCGCAACCAAACGCCCAUCCGGCUGUGGCGUCUUUGCACGCGCACUGCUGUUGCCCUUUCGCCCACCUGUCGUACUUGCGCAUCCUCCCCGCCUGCUUGCUUGCCUGCCGCCUUGCUGCUUGCUCACUUGUCGCCCGGCCCUUUGCAUUGACGCGAGCUGUCCGCACAUCAGCUCUGCUCCUCGACGUCCGCGGCUCACCCGUGGACGUGGCUGGACUGCAUCGCGUUGCUUCCUCGUCCCGCACAAGCGUUGGUGGCAGCAGUGGUGGUGGUGGUGGCGGUGGCGGCUGUAUCAAUGGCUGUACCCGGCCGUGUACGGCGCUGUCGAUCUUGAGCUGCUGCGCCUGGGCGACUGUGGCGGCCGCGCGCGUUUGGAUGCCGUGCGGGACAUGGGAUGGGUGCGGGCGGCGGCACCUCCUGUCUUUCCGCAAGACGGCAGUGCUUCCGCGGUAACUCAGAUGGGACCCGCAACUUCUUUGCUUGUCUGCUAUGGCUUUGGACGAUAUGCCGGUGGCGCGGAUGUGCACACAAAGGUGGAAGGUCAGGCCGUUGCCGCCGCCGCCGGCACUUUUGCCCCGCUGUCGCCAGUGUAGUUGGAAAACUGUAACAACGGUAGCACUGUGGAUUGCGGUUUGUUGCAGCCAAUGCAUGUUGGGCCUCCCCCGUGCAUGCGUGCCACCAGGAGACGUGCUGGGCGGGAGGCCCCGGUCCGAUUCUGGUGAACGGGUGACAAGAAAAGGUGGCUCUCCCUUGCAAGGGAAAAGUGGGCUGAGCCCACGCCACGUCCUCCGUCUGAGGCCGAAGGCUCCGAUACGAGCCUCAUCUCCCGGACAUAGCCGGGGUCGGUUUGUACAGGCACCGCCCGCCAUAUGUGUCCAGUCGCGCCCAGCUAUCAAGCACUAGUGCAGCAGGCAGCAGGCCAACCAAGGAAAACACCCCUGCCGCUGCAGCCGACUGCCCGCUACGCCAUGCUCGUCAGCACAGGUCGCUAACCAGACAACACCGGCAGGUCUCAACCUGCGCGCCUGCGCCGCUUUGAAGGCGGCGCCGCGCUGUCCUCCUCCACGUGGCCUUGCCCGCCCCCUCUGCUCCGAACAUGCGCGCCGCCACUGCCGCUGGGCCCAGGGCCGCCCGUGCCGCCGCCACCACCGGGCCCAACGCCGCCGUGGCCGCUGCUGUUGCCGCCGGUAGGCGCGGUGCCACCGCCGCCGCCACCGCCGUCUCCAGGCCCUGCACCGCCGCCACCGCCGCCGCCAGGCCCUGCACCGCCACCGCCGCCAGCAGGUCGCAGGGCUGCAGGCCGCGGUUUGCCAAGCAGCAUCUCCAUCAGCGCGUGCCGCAUGUUUGUAGCCGAGUUGGCGUCACGGCCCUGCAGUUCAACAUGCAAACAGGGCGUGUGUCAUCCCGUGUGUCACCCCGUGUCAUCUCCAAACCGCCCUGUGUCAUCCCGUGUCAUCCCGUGUCAUCAUCUCCAAACCGACCUGCCGCCCCAAACCUGCCAACCCACUUACCCACACAGUCCCGCAGUGUUGGCACACUUGGACGUCGCCGGCACGCGAGCCACCAAACGGAAUGAACGGGUGAAAAAAACAACCAAAACAAGGAACAGCGUGUCGUGCCGUGCGGAAUGCAGGGUCUGCAUUGGCUACUGCCAUACCGUUGCUCCAACGUCACAGCCGCCGCAUGUUGUGCUCCGGUACGGUACCUCCUGCCCCGCCUGUCAUUCCAUGCCGUCACGCCGUGGCCACGGCUUUCAACACAGCGCCCCAACCUCACGUGCAGCACGUCACCGGCAUUACCGCUCCUGCACGCACAACGCCGUCGCUGACGCCGGGGGCCUUGCCCCGUUCUUGGUGGCAGUGUGUGUGGUGGUGGUGAUGGUGAUGAGGGUGUGGCGCACCCUGCUACAGUUAAAUGCGCGUACCGUAGCUUGCGGCAGCAUCCAGCCGUCGCUGCCGCCAGGGGUCAUGCCACGUUGCGACGUUGUGGUCUGGUCUUGGUGGUGCUGGUGAUGGCAGUGAUGGCGUUAAUGAUGGGGUGUGUGGCGUGCCAAUGCGGCAAAGAAGCAGAAACGUGCGUGGGCUGCCGAUAGUGCCGAAUGCGCGGAGAUGGGCCACGGCCAGCGCCACUGGUGGGCAGCAAGUGCGGGCUUAGACGGAUGAAGGGGAAGACACGAGGGCGGGCAGGGGAAGCAAUGAUCGAUUGCCUUUGUCUUGCCUUUCAGUCUUAGCCACUUUGAACCUCGUUCUACAGCACUAUGUCGGCCUGUUGCCCAAUGCCUCACGCCCGCAUCCGAUGCUUUGGGCGCGCCAACAGGCACGGGUGAACCUGUCGGCGUGAACCUGUCGGCGUCUUGCACCCUCCGCACCUAGCCCUCUUCCGCCGCCCUAGAGCCGCAAUCCCAAGCGUCUCUCCCCGCCCGCUGCUGCGGUGCUGCGCAGCCCUUGGCGCGCCCUGGCCUGGCCCGCUGCCGUGGCGCCCUCCGCUGCCCCCGUGCCUUGGCACCCUCACCUGGUCCACAUCGCAACAGCCCCGGCUCCACGUGGACGAGCGGGGCCAGGACCGGACGAGCCGCCAAGCAGCAGUGCCAAUGUCACCGGGGCCUGUGUCCAUGCAGUCCCAGGUUGCAGCUGAUGUAGCUGCUGUCAGGCCUACUCGGGCAUGCGCCGCGCACGCACGGUCCUCACGGCGCGGAGAACACGGAGAACACGGCUGCACAGGAGAACCUACCAAGAGUUGCAGUCCUCAGGCAAUCCUCAGGUACCAAAACCAAGCCCGAACCUGCAAUCACUUGGGCCUGAUGCUCCCGGUUGCAGCUGAUCCAGCUGAGGCUUGCGGGGCGUGCACAACGCAUCGCCGCCAACCUGUGGUGGCAUACAGAGGCGGGAGGCCCUCAGACCCGACCAGGCUCUGCCGUGCUCUCUGGCUUAUGAGUGCUUGCAAUUUGUUCUUAGCGGGAAAGGGAUACGCGCUAGCUGCCUCCUCCAGGGUUUGCCAAAAGUUUGCGCGUGUGAAAAGCAAGACGCCUGUAACGCGUAAUCCUAUUCGUUGGAGCAAAUGGAUCUUAUACAUAAAGAAGUUGCAGGUGUGAAUCGCAGGCCGAGGGGCUUCAUACUAAUGCCGACCGGGGCCCCAUCAUGCAAGUUGUACACCUGGAUGCCCUUUUGCCCAGUCCCGCACAAUUCUAAGGUGUUUCUCGCUCUGAGCUUUUACCUUAGUACUUUAGGGGGGCCUUCCGACUUGGGCACGUGCUAACUAACAUAGGAGCAUCCCUUGACUUGUUGAUCAUUAUGGGAGGACCUGAUUUUGACGUAGUUCGUGUCACGCAGUGGCGGUGCUCCUGUCCGCGUGGCGUAAUGGCGUUGCGGGCUUGCGGAGUUGCGGGCUUGCGGCCGUGGCCGUGGUCCUGGCGUGGAUUCCACUGGAUUCCACUGGAUCGAGACCCGGUGCAAGGCGUGCAUUCUUUUCUAUUUUGAAUUAUCGCGUCGUGUGUGUAUGUGUGUGUCAGGGCAUGUGAACACACCCCGACUGUGAACACACAAGCAGCUAGCUGUUCACGCGGUCGAGAUGCCUCCAGGCGCCGUGUCAAUUGCUGGCGCUACAUGCAAGUGCUGUUUACUUAGGACAUGUUUAUUCCCAGCAACCCAACACAGGGCAUGCCCCGCCAAUUUAUUAGCGUACGACGGGGGAUGAGCCCCGCGUCUCAAAAUUGUAAAGCCAACUUGGCUCAGACUGCUUAUAGCAUACUUUUAUCCGCGUUAGCUGCCUUCGCGCCCACGCCGAGUACAGUCCCGCAGCGAGAGAUGUGCCUGCAGCCUUAUUUGCAACAUAUUGCCCCGCAAACUGUCUACAGUACUCGCUCGCUACGUUCAAUACCGCGUAGGCCAUAAUAGCGCCAAAGCGAGCCUGCGGGCCGCAAACUCUGAGCCGACUCUGCGCCGAUUCUACCGAACCAGCUGAGCUGAGCCUCGGAUAGCCUGAUGGGUGACCUGGACCGCAACUACCGCUAUAGUUAUGAUGAAACCGAUGUCAGCAUGUUGGGGGAGGAGGGCAACGCGAGCGAUGCGAUGAGCUGGGAUGGGCCCGAUGGCGCUGCGGGAGCUGGCCACGGUGAUGCCGACAGCGUCGUGCUUAGGGGUGACGCCGAAGCAGAUGUUACGGAUGGCUACGCCGAUCUGCGCGUGGAUUCCUGCCACGAGGAGGCAGCGGACCCAGACUCGUCCGCUGUGCUUGCGGUGCGCAAUUCAAAACGUGACCUGCGUGUGCAGCAAGCAAUUGUGUACUGUAAAUUUAGCGAGGUGGCUGGGUGCGGGCACGACGGGCGUUGGGGUAAACAACUUGCCGCUGCAUAUGUGGUGCUUGUGCCUGGGAGUCGUACAUCAAUAUGCCCACACUGCAAACCGCCGUGCCGACGCAGGAAGUCCCGAAAGUUGACUGCCAGUGCACAAUUUUGACAGCAGCAGCGCCAGGCACCCGCGUCACCCGUGCUGAGGUGGGUACGCUUCGAGGUAGACAGGAUGCCGUUGAUUUGCAGCCUCCCGUGUAGGAACCUUGUCGUGCGAGGAAUGCUGGAGGGGGGUCAUAUCUGGCAUUUGCCGCGUCGUGCGUGAUUAAGACUUGGCCAUACGCGUGCCAUACGUGAUGCAGGAUGUGCUCACCGGGUACUUGUCCAAGUGCGGCGCCACAGCUCAAGGUGGUGAGCGUGCGCAAUCAAUAGCUGUUCGCAACGUCUUGAGCCUCGGGCACCACUUCAAAUGAGCAGGGGCAAGGGCUACAGUGCAGCGCGCGUAGGCGUGCAUCACCAGCUAGCGUGAUCCUCUGUUGCUCUUUUAGAGACUGCGAUUUGGGUUUCCACCUGAGGUCCUGACGCUACCCGCUUUCCUGUUGUCGUCCUGUUCCUACCUGCAGGCGAAGGCAACGGCGCCACAGGCCGUGAUGUGUUCCCUGGGCCGCACCCUGGCAGGACCGCCACACAGCCACCGCCUGCUGCAGCUGGUGGCACGGUGAGCUGCGUAAUGCUGUUGCGGGGGCUUGCUCCAUCCAUUGAAUGUACGGGCCGUGCAGGGCAAACGCCCAAGAGGUGGGCAGGGCCGGCGGCAGGGACGUACCGUGUUGCUUGAAUGCUGGCAGCUGAUGGCAUGACUAAGGUUGGGGGUACUGCGCACAACCGCAACCGUACCACACACUGCUGCGAUGCCGUUUGAUAAGUGUGUAACUCCCGCCACCCCUCGUCCCUUCACUGCUUCCGCAGGACGCCACGGAUGCAGGGAGCUCGGGCGGCCCGUCUGCCGCUGCGUCAUGGGAGCGGCUGGGGGCCCGGCGGAGCGCGCUGGCAGCCGCGGAGCACAGCGAGGCGGGCAUCGCGGCAGUGGCACCCGCGACCGCCGACAUGCUGGAUACGGAGGAGGGCGCGCAGGUCCAGCGCGGCGCGGCAACGCCGGCCAGUGGCGCAGUGAGUUCUGCAGGCGUGCAGGGUUGGGGAGCAGGCUGUGUGGCUGUAUCCUGCGAGUCUGCCUGCACAUGUGAAGGCGAGGCCGACUUGAGCGGGGCUGGUAAAGGCCAUAACGGGCAGGAGCAUCAGCGAGGGUGGGGAGGUAGCGGUGUCGGCGGCAUCCUGCAUGGGGUCAGCUGAUGACCCAGUUUCAUACUGCAUGCCGGCGCGGCAUCCUGAUCGCAUUGUCCGGCUUGGCGCUACAGGAAUUGCCGCGGCAGGAGGGCGGCGAGGACGGCGUGGCCGCUGAGGAGGGGCUGUGGCCCACCACGGCGUAUGAGGAGUGGUUGCGCGCCCGGCUGCGUUAUGCGCUGUGGCGCAGCCAUGUGGCAUGCUGCUCUAUGCUGCACGGCAUGCCGGGGGGCCCGGCAGCGGAGGAAGGGGAGGCGGCGAAGGCGGCGGAGGCACCCGCCGCCGCCGCCAUGCUGCUGGACGCAGAGGAGGGCGAGGAGGGGCGGCAAGCCAUGGCACCGCCGGCCAGUGGCGCAGUGAGUACCGCGAGCAAGGGUUGGGCAGAGGGCUGCAUGGCUGUGUCCUGAGAGUCUGCCGCGAGGCCCCUGAAGGACAAGGGGCGGACGGCUUGGCUGCGUGUGGAAAAGCAUGUUCGGUUUGGCUGGCGCGAGCAUGAAGAUACCAUGUGCAUGGGCCCAAACUUUCUUGCUUCCUUAUGCGCCGGAUCGGCGCUACACGCCCGCACCGAUGUCAGCUGGCGCAUGCCGCUGGGCUUUUUCAUCUAUGCCACUCGUCGCCAAUUCAUAGCGGCCCCAGCAGUCGGUAACUAUCCGCCCUUGACGAUGCCCUUGCACCCUCUCCCGCCCUCUUUAUGUUCUUCGUGUCACGACCAGGCGGCAAGCGGUGGCGGCGGCGGAGAGCUCCUCUUUGAUGACCUGCGGGCGGCGCUUGCAUCGGUGUCGUCCUCCUUGGGGCGGGGCUCGGCGCCAUUCGCGGCGUGCGCCUGUGACCCCGGCCAGCAUGGCGAGGCCCGGCCGUCAUCAGACCCUGUGCGCACGCCGCAGCCGCCACAGCCUGCAGCCGCGCUGGAACUGCUGUCCCCGGUCACCUGCUGCAGCGGCUCAUCCGCAGAUCUUGCAGCGGUGCAGCGGCAAGGUGCGGCGUGUGCUGCGGCUGCUUCGGCAGCAGCGCCAAGCCCACGCCCACUGCCGUCAGUGGCGGCGGAGGUCCAGACGCAGCAUCCGGCGGCAGCAGCAGACAACGAGCCGGCUGACGGCACCACGCCGCAGCGCUCGGCUAAAGAGGUGACGCCCCAGCAGCCGAACGCGCAGCAGAGAGGAGUCGCGCCGGUGCGGCUGCUGCCUCGGGUGGACCGGCUGCCCCGUAUCGCCAUGACGCCGGUAGGCGCGCGCAUGCAUGGGCGGGAUGGACAGCGGGCCGAUGACACGCAUGCAUGGGCACGCCGCCUAUGCUAUCUUUGGGCUUGCGUGAAGCAUGGGGCGCAUGGGGGUGCUGCUGUUGUUGCUGCAUCGUCCUUCGCACUCCCUAUGGCAAAUCGAACCUGUCCUUAUCUAUGGCGUUCUCUUACGCAUGUUAUAGAAUGCAAAGCUGUGGCAGCACAACGCGCGGUAUAACACAGCCGCCAAGGCUGUGGUGGACAUCGUGCUGGGCGUGGUGGCGACAGCAGAGGAGCAGCAGGGCUCGGACCUGGGCCCUUGCUUCUACCUGACGGCCACCGCCGUCCUGCUGCUGAGCCUGGUGCUAUUGCACGGCCUCGAAGAUCCAUCCACGCAGCCCUGGCUUAAACGGGGCACCCAGAAUAUGGAGGAACUGGUGGCGCAGCUGGAGAGGUGGGCGUCCUUCAAGGACCUCAACCUCGACACGUGCAUCCGGUACCUGUGGGCAGGCGCGCCAGACUGGCCCAAGGUGGCGCAGACCCUGGCCGCGGUCAGGGAAGGCCUCACCCUCAACCACAUUUGUAAGGUGUGUUCGGCCAUCGGAAUGACGUGGCGCGCGCUCGUGUCGUGGAAGCAAUUGCCGGCCCGCAUUCUGACCCGCUAAACGUGCCCUGUCCUGUGUGUGCAUUUACACAGGGCAGCUACAACGCAGUUUUUUGGGUGGUGGGCAGGGGUGACUUGCUCACGAGACAGCCGCUGCAUAAUAUCGAUUCGGACCUGCUGGCGGCCGUCUACAACCAAGGGCCAGCGCUGCUCCGCCACCUGCGUGCGGCCUGCGCGAUUCACCGCGACAGUAAGCAGCCCAUCGGUGUGCGCGUCAUGGGCCUGCUGCCGGUGGUCAACAGGCGCGUCCCGGACCUCACCACCGGCGAGGCGCUGCGGAGCCUGUGCGCAGCGAAGGGUAAAGUGGCGAUUGCCAUGGUGUUGGAGCGACUGACGACCGUGGAGGAGGUCGCGAAGGCGCUGGCAGCGUACACCGUGGCCCGUGGCCCGUGGCAGGUGAUUGGGCGGGUUGCACGCGCUUCAUUCAUGCCCGGUGCCAGCAAGCGUUUAGCCCGCAGCUUGCGCACAGGGCAGCUUGUGCAGCGUCUUCGUUCCAUUGCCAUACAUCGAUGGCAAACCGUAUGAUCCCUCGUGCACCGCGUGCAGGAGGGUGUGUGGCCGCUGGGCUUGGGGCUGGCGCUGACGAGAGGCGUGCUGAGCGCGACGGGUCAUUUGAUCAAGCUGGGGCUGCACCACGGCGAUAUCAAGGUUAACAACGUGGGGUUCACCGACCUCAAGCAGCAGCCGUUCCGCGACGCGACGUUUCUAGACAACGACGACCUGAGCCAGGACCCAAAUGGGCGUGUGCACAGGUACCACACCUCUCGGUUCACGGCCCUGGGGGCGCAGCAGUGUAUAAACAGCGGCAACAUGUGGUGCCGCCCGAGCUUGCGGCUACAGGGCAUGGACCUGCACCAGGUAGAUGUGUCUGUUGUGUCGGUCCGACGCACGCAUGGACACUAAGCACUGCUUGCUUGGCCGUAAGUGCUUGCAAGCUGGCGCAUUCGCCUGGCUUGGCUGACUAGCUAUGGCCCCGGCUCUCUCCUGCGCAGGUGCAAGGCUUUCAGGCCACGCUGAUAGUGCUGCUGCUGCCGGAGGCGGUGCUUUACCAUGCCAACGACGGCUGCGUCAAUUUCUUUAGUUUUGUCCCGGCGCUGUGGAACACCGGCCACGGCGGCCUAGGCGUGCUGUAUCCCAGCCAGCUGAUGUCCGCCGUGCUGGCGGGUGUGCUGGGGACUCUAAUGCACCCGCUUGCCGACAAGCGCAAGGGCCUGCCGGAGCUCAUGCCGCGCGUCCACAGCCUGUGCAGCGCCAUGGACGAGUGCGAUUUCUGCCUUCGCGGGCUCACUGACGCCGGCGGGUGCCUGCGCGUGCCGGUGCGUGGUGCCCAACCGAUGUGUUAGUUAAGGUUGGAUUCGCAUGCCGUGAUCCUGCCGCUCGGGCAUGGGUGAAACCCUACGUGGUUGUGCUGCUGCUGUCUUUCAUUGUGGCCACACAUGCACAUCGGUGGCCCCUGGUUGCAGAUCGGCGCCGGGCCGCUGGCCCACCUGUGCAGCCCGCCACAGACCGACGUGCUGCUGCGCCAGCUGCUCUCGGCGCUGGAGGAGUGGCGCGAGGACCCGUUCAUGGCGGCCAACCUGUUCCAGGUGAUUACGCUGCUGCACAAGGCGGCCCACUGCACCUGGCCCGCCGGCCCCGUCAACGACUUCAUGCAGCGGGUGCUGCUGCUGGCGGUGCUGUGCGACAUUGUGCGCGUGGAACGCCAGGCGGAGGCUGGGCUAGAGCGACCGGAGCUGCUGCUGCUGUACAAGGUGCGCGCUGCUGUACAUAUUGGGCCCCUUACAUGUCAUGACACCCUUGGUAGAUUGUCUGGAUGGGUUGCGAAUUGAGUGCGUGCGUGCGUGCUUGGCCUGCUGUUUGUGCUGCAGGGCAAGCAAGGCGACCGCGAGCGCACGCUACUGCACCUGCUGGGCGCCACCGGAAGCACGCAGGGCUACCUCACCAUUCUGCGGGCUCUGGCCAUGGCUGGCCUUUGCUUUGACCGCUAUAAACGUGUCAUGAACGCGGUCGACCAGGUGAGUGUCCGAGACACCGGGGCGGGGUGCUGGCUUGAUUGCUCGUCACCUAUGCCUGAUGACCCAAGCUGGUGUGCUGGAUCCCGUCACCCACUGCAGAACGGAUACUCGCCGCUCAUGCUGGCGGCCGUGCAUGGGCAGCACGCGCUCGUCAUGGCGCACAUCAGCUUUGCAAAGGAGCAGCUGGACGAGGAGGCGCAGCAGCUGCUGAACGAGGCCCUGUCACCCGACCUACGUAAGGUCAGCGAGCGUGCGGUGUUACAGCUGCUGGACGGGCUGGUCCCGCAGCCGGCCGCCCUGGGAGGCCUGCUCACCAUCCUGUGCUCUCAGUUCAACGGACACAACGACCAGCUUCAGAAGCUCCUGGCGUACGUGCCGCCGGUACUGCGGCUGCCAGAGGUGACCGGCGGGCAGGGCGGCGGGGCAAGCAGCAGCGGGGCGGGCGGCGAGGUGGCUGCGGGCGGGCUGCUGGCAGCCGCACAUGCGCACCUGGGCGCGUCCCAGGAGAAGCUGGAGCAGGCGCUCGAGGACUCCCGCCUGCAGCCGCUGCUGCGCUGCCUGCGUGGGCCGGUUCAGCCGGCGGCAGGCCAGGAGGCGGGACCCCACAUUGUGGAGCAGGUGGCGCGCGGCGCGCUCAAGCUGUUUGCGACGGCCGCAGAGCUGCCGCUGACAGACGCGGUCGUGAAUAUUGGAGUCUAUGUACUGCCGGCUCGGUUACUCACGGCAAAGGUGACUGGCGCCCGUAUGGAUUUAGACAGGUCGCGCCCUGAUGCAACUAGCUAUACAGAUGCCGCAACGGUCUGGGAAACGUCGGGCGUUGCGCGGAUGCAUCCAUACCCAUUCGCACGUGUGCGUCUUGCUCUGCAGACCGCUCGGGAGCUGGGCGCGGACACCCCCUUCCAUGCAGCGGCUGCGAUGGCUGGUCCCCUGCCCGGGCUCUAUGCUGCGGUCGAGGAGACGUUUGGAUGCAAGCUUGCCGACAAAUGCCUGGCGGAGUUGAACGCGGUAGGUGCGAGGAGCAUAGUGCCACAGCAGUGGAUGACGGCGUGUGGUUGAGGCUAUCCAAUUCAGUGCAUACCAUACCGUCACAGUGGCAGAACGCUCCCACUCCUCCCACUACUUUCCCCGCCCGACCAAGUCCUCCGACCCUCCAUACCGUUACCGAUUUCCCCUGUUUCGCCUAUCCCUCCCCUCUUCAGUCGCGCGAACAGCAAGUCCAAUCGCUCCCUCCUCCGGUCCGCACUGGCUCAUCUGUCUUUUCAGGCACCCCCAUCAAUUACCGUGCCUGCCGCACAGAUCCCGCACGAACUGUCCUCUCCCACCCAUCCGCAAGGACUGUCCCGAACGUCCACCGUGUACCCCUGAACGCGCACAACCCCCCCCCCAUUGACGUUCAGUGAUGGCGUGUGCGCAGAGGAGACAAUUAGCGGAACUCACAGCCGCGACACGGGUAUACAAUUGUACAUUCUAUGGCGCUCAUUGGGCACAGCUAACUGUGUACUUCUUUGCAUUUGUGUCCACGCAGGACGGCCGCACGCCGCUGCAGGUGCUGCUGCAGUGCCACCCAGUGCUGAUGUCCGCACCCAGCAGGGCGUUUGGAAAGGUGGACGACCACCGCACGGAAGAGGGACGCGCCAAGCUCGCCGCGAUCGCCGUCGGUCUGCGCGACUUCAUGGCGGAACGGGUCAAGGACUCCGCCACUCAAUCGCUGCAAGCGGAGCUGGGCAUGGCGGUUCCCAACCUGCUGCCAGGAUGCUGGUCGUGAGCGCCGCCAUUCGGUAGGUCGGGCUUCGUGACGGUCAGGUGGUAGCUUUGCCCCGCUUCUGGUGUGCCUAGCGGCGGUGUUGCGUCAAGAGGGGGUAUCCGAUGGUCUCUCAUGGCCUGGGAGGAAGGUGUGGAUGGCGUAUGUAUGCCCUGUGUUCCUCUUUCCGAAGGAUAUGCAUGUGUUUCCCGCGGAUGCACCGAGCGCUAUGCACAAUGCCCGGCGUGAUCCAGGCCCAUCCCAUUUACAGGGGCGGGUGGCGGCUGGCGCUGCGGCGAGUGAAGGCGCGGCGGGUGGUGGCGGUGGUGGUGGCUGUAUUAGUCGCUGUACCCGCCCGUGUACGGCACUGUCGAUCUUGAGCUGCUGCGCCUGGGCAACUGUGGCGGCCGCGCGUGCUUGGGCGUCGUGCGUGACAUUGGAUGGGUGCGGGCGGCGGCACCUCCUGUCUUUCCGCAAGACUGCAGUGCUUAAGCGGGAGCCCUGACGUGACUUAAAUACUUGUCUGCUAUGGCUUCGGAUCAUGUGCCUGAUACGCGGAUGCCGACACAAAAGGUGAAAGCUCUGGCCGGUACUCUUGCCCCACUGUCACCAGUGGAGUAAAGCUGUAACAACGGAGGCGUUAUGGAUUGUUGCUGCUGCCCACGCAUGCUGGGGCUCCCCGGUGCGUGCGUGUGACAAGUAGACAUGCAGGGCAGGGGGGCACGGACCGUUGCUUUAAGUGCGCCAUCAGGCACGGGUGAAAACCAAAGAACGACGUGUUGCAGGGUCUGCAUUCCCACAUGCGCUUGCACUUGCUCUUCGGGCCACGUGCCCCAGAUUGCCGCCUGACCUACCGGGCGUGCACAACCUGACCUGGCAGUGGGAACUUAGGUCUACAUUAGAGGCGUUGCACGUAUUAUCAAUGAAACUAUGAAAGCCCCUCAGUAGUGCCCAGCGGUGCCGCGGUGGUCGCGAACAGGGCCAUGGCUAAAAGCAGAAACGUGCGUGGGCUGCCGAUAGUGCCGAAUAUGCGGAGAUGGGCCGCGGCCAGCGCCACUGGUGGGCAGCAAGUGCGGGUUUAGACGGAUGAAGGGGAAGAAUCACCACAAGGGCGGGCAGGGGAAGCAAUGAUGGAUUGCGUCUUGCCUUUCAGCCUGAGCAACUCUGAACUUCAUCUUACAGCACCAUAUCGGCCGGUUGCCCAAUACCUCACGCCCGCAUCCGAUGCUUUAAGCGCGCCAACAGGCACGGGUGAAACCAAGGACAUGUGGGAGCUGCUGCUGCCAUGCCUGAUUCGACGUGGGCGGCCGCGUCCCGUUGUCCGGGCCAGCCAACCCUCAUUCAUACCUGCUUUUUACAAUGCGACCCAGCCUGUACAUACGUACGGGACGGUAGGGGGCUCCUGCAAAGAGUUCGUGUGAUUGGGGCGCCGGCCGGACCAGGCCGGAGGCCCUCACGGGUCCCCUCUCGCCCACUUCAGCUGUGCGGAUGACCCGACCGUGCAAACCCAGCUAACCGGGUUCCGGAGCAAUCAGCUACCGGGGGCACCGGUGACUCAGUCGGCGGGGCAGACAGGCCAGCGCAUCUGCACCACAGGAAGCCGCCUGCCGGCAUCUUCUCGGUUGUCGCACCCUCCUCACCUAGCCCUCUUCCCCGGCCCAAGAACCUCGCCUGGCCCACAUCGCAACAGCCCCCGCUCCACGUGGACGUAGGUGGAUGAGCGGGACCGAGCCGCCAAGCAGCAGUGCCAAUGCCACCGGGGCCUGUGUCCAUGCAGUCCCAGGUUGCAGCCGAUGUAGCUGCUGUCAGGCCUACUCGGGCAUGCGCCGCGCACGCACGGUUCGUGUGGCGCAGAGAACACGGAGAACAAGGCUGCACAGGAGAACCUACAAAGAGUUGCAGUCCUCAGGCAAUCCUAAGGUGCCAAAACCCAGCCCUAACCUGCAAUCGCUUGGGCCUCAUGCUCCCGGUUGCAGCUGAUCCAGCUGAGGCUUGCGGGGCGUGCAUCGCCGCCAACCUCAACGCGGGUGGCACGGAGGCCCCAAGCCCCGACCAGGCUCCGCCGUGCUCUCUGGCUCAUGAGUGCUUGCAAUUUGUCCUUUACGGGAAAGGGAUACGCGCUACAGUAGUUGCCUCCUUCAGGUUUGCCAUAAGUUUGCGCGUGUGAAAUCAAGACGCCUGUAACGCGUAAUCAUAUUCGUUUUUGGAGCAAAUGGAUCUUAUACAUAAGAAUGUGCAGGUGUAAAUCGCAGACCCAGGGACCGCUUUGACUAAAUGCCGACCGGGCCCCCAUCAUGCAAGUUGUGCACCUGGAUGCCCUUUUGCCCAGUCCCGCUAAAUUCUAAGUUGUUUCUCGCUCUGAGCUUUUACCUUAGUACUCUAGGGGCGCCUGCCGACUUGGGCACGUGCUGAGAAAGAUGCAGGCUUCUUUGCGCGCGCGGGCUAGGCCCUUUACCUCGGGUAUGUGACUCUAGAGCUGGACGUAGAUCUAGGAUUGAUGCGACUAAAAUUGUGGGCUUGCUCUGCAGGCGCCCAGCCAUCGCUGCGGCGAGCGCCCGCUCGCGUCUGCCGCCCCGUGGCGUCAGCAGCGGCUGCUAAAGGACCCGUUGUUGUUGUGGACAACUACGAUAGCUUCACAUACAACUUGUGUCAGGUGGGGCGGUCGCUGCAUGUUUGCCGCGAGGCAUCGGCACGUCUCAGCGCCUCACCGCUGCCCUCUCUGACGCCAAUUGCAGUAUCUGGGUGACUUUGGGGUUGACUAUGUGGUGUACAAAAACGACGAGAAAACCGUGGAUGAGAUCAGGGCCAUGAACCCUCGCGGUAUCCUCGUGUCGCCCGGCCCCGGUGAGUGCUCGCCUCGCAGCCCCAGCGCCACGUUCUUGGCUUGGCGCGUCCCGCCUUUGAUACGCCCAAACAGGGCUAACUUGUGUCAGCUAGCCCUUUCCGCAUCUUGUGCAUGGAAUGCUGGGCUGUGCAACUGACGGUGAUGCGGUUUCCUGUCAUGUGCGCGCAGGCCGGCCCAUCGACUCGGGCAUCUCCCUACAAACAGUGCGGGAGCUGGGUCCCGACUUCCCACUAUUUGGUGUGUGCAUGGGGCAUCAAUGCAUUGGCGAGGCAUUCGGAGGUGCGUCGUGCUGGGGCUGCUGCGAUGAUGGUGGAGGGAUGAUGGAGGGUAGCAUGGGUCAGGAACGGGGAGGAGGCCAGGGGCGGAACACGCCGCACACGCCGCACCAGUGAGGGCCGCGCACGCCAAACCUGGCUGAGGGCAGGCACCAGGCAGCAUAUGUACGUGAGGAUGAGCAUCAACCCGUUCAGGCGCCUGAAGCAUUGCCGUGCGUCGUGUGAGGGUCGUGGUGGGGCAGCCGCAGCCACAUACCGCUACCUGCAGCGGGCGGCAACAGCGGGCGGCCACUGCGGGCGUGGCGACAGUGGCAGCGGGGCGCCGGCGCCGCCCGCACCCAGGCCGCAGAAGUUGCAAUUGAGGGAAUCCAGUGACCUCAUACAGCGGCCUGGCGCAGCCCUCAGGCCGCCGCGCCAGGACCUGCAACAUUCCCCCUGGGGCGGCAGGCGACUGCAGAGCCGGUCGUCCGCGCAUGGGCGGUAGCUGCUGCCGUGGCUGCCACCCGUCAGACUGCCGCCCCGUCAGACUGGCUCCCUGGUGUGCUGCGCUGCAGGUGACGUGGUGCGCGCGCCGUGCGGGGUGAUGCACGGCAAGACGUCGCCGGUGUUCCACACCAACGUGGGGCUCCUGGAGGGCCUGCCCAAGUAGGUGUGGCGUGCCGCGUGACGUGUCGCGAGCGGCGUGGGAUGGGGAGGGGAGGGGAGGGCGAGGGGAGAAGCGAGGGGUAGGAGGACAGGGGAGGGGGGGGGAAAGGGGGGGAGCAUUGGACCCGAUACAGAGGGUAGCCUGCAGCUUCGGCGUGGUGGCAGGGCAAUACGGUAGAGUAGAGAGGAGGGGAUCGUGCGCGAUGGUCUUGCGGGUUGGAAGUGAGGGCUACUGGAUCGGGGCUGGAAAGCAGCUUCAGGGGUGCAUGCGGGAGAGGGUGAAACAUGGCAAUGAGAUGGCGCGGCAUCCGACCGAGCAGCUCGGGCGGCGUGGCAGCAACAGGAUGGCUUUGGGGGCGCAGCUGGAGCGCGGGCCUGCAGCGGAGGCCGUCAGCUGGAGGGCAGGCAGCGGGUGGCAGAGCAGAUCUGGUGGUCCAGAUGGAGAUGCACGCGGGGAUGGGCAGGGGCGUUGAAGGGCGGGCGGCACGGGGUGGGCGGAGCGCAGCGGGAAAGGGGGACUGCUCGUGGCAUGACGUGACAUGGCUCGUGGGGUGGGUGGUGGGGCUGGGGCGGGUGUCGACAGUGUUGUGCUCGCUGCCUUCCCGCCCCGGCUCCUGCGUCCUGCUUACGCACGCGUCACAGCACACCCACAACUGCGUUCUCCAACACCUCCACCUGCAACGCGACUCGCUAACCACCCCCACCCCCGUGGCCCGAAUUCCUCUUGACCCUGCGCGCCAUCCCAACCGGGGCACAUGUUCUCCGCUCUGGCACGUACACCCCGCUUUCACCAGAAUCGCACGCCUAAACCGUGUCAUCAAUCCCCCCCAUCGCCCUUCACCCGCGGCCCACGCCCCACUCCCGCAGCCCCUUCGAGGCGUGCCGCUACCACAGCCUGGUCAUCAAGCGCGACACCAUCCCGGAGGACCUGGAGGUCACGGCCUGGACGGAGGACGGCACCAUCAUGGGCGUGCGCCACAAGAAGUACCCGCACAUCCAGGGGGUGCAGUUCCACCCCGAGUCCAUCAUCACGCAGGUGCGCGGCAGGGGUGUGUGGGAAGGAAGGGGGUUGUAAGUGCCAGCCUGAACUAAACCAAACCACGCCAAACUAGCGGAGCACAGGCAGAGGCGCGGGCACUAGGGGGCGCUAGGGCAACUGUCAAGGACUUGCACCCGGCGCCGUGGAUAUGAACAUAGUCCUGUCACCAACAUUGCUGUACCCUCGCCACUGCAGAGUGGCAAGAAGAUUGUGGAGAACUUCGUGAAGACUCUGUAACGCCCUGUUGUGACGGUGAAGGUGGCGAGGAGUUUGGCGAGCAGCGUUUAGCGGCGAGGAGCUGCGUGGAGCUAUUGCCAUGAGCGACUUGCGUGGAGGCACUGCCUUCUCUGAAACUGUGAAAGUCAUGUUGCGGCGGUGCCUGGCCAAGUGGUGGCGCAGGGCGUGGCCCCAGCUGUUGCCAGUGAGGGCGGUGUGCUGCAGCUGAGGUGAACACGUGGUGCAUGCGCCUCGGGAACCUCCGGUGGAAAUGAAGUGAAGUGAAGGAGCGUGCUGGAGGCGUGGCAGUGUGAGGACAGGGCAGCUGAGACGUGAGGGUUGUGGAGUGGAGCAUGUGACUGGGUAGCAAGGUGUGAUUGGGGCGCGUAGCUAGGGGUGCGUGAGAGCGUGGGUUGCAUGGUCUGCAUCUUGACGCGGGUUGGGCACAAUUGCAGAGAGUGUGAAAGGAGGGCAUGCGUGCAGGCUGUGCAGGCCCCACGCCUCUGAACAACUGGGCAAAGCCGGGGAGGUGGCUUCGGGUUUGGUGUGGGGUUAAGUCGUGGCUGCCCAUGGAGCGGCGGGUGUGAUUGCAAAGUGGGCCACGGAAGUAGCUAUGAGACACCGUGUGUUAUGCUGCUACUGCGUGCAAGGGGUUUAUAGACACGGGUUAUUGAGGUUAGGGUUGUUGGUGGACGGCGCUUAAUAGUCGGGCAGUCGGACAAGAACCCUGGUUUGGGCCCUGCAUGAAAGGUGAGCGCCGAACAAAGCAUGCAAGCGAGCCAUGUCUUACGACAUCAACGCUACCGCUUUUAAACGUGUAUCUUGGAAUCCACAGCGGUGUCCUAACUGCAGUCCUGGGUCGCCUCGCCUGGAGAAAUCGGCUUUGCCAGAACUGUCAUCCCGCUUACCCAAGCUUCCCGCACAUGCUUUUUGUACAAUUCGGCUUGCCCAAGCUUUCUUUAGGCCAUAUUGAAUUUACUUCCAUCCGCUGCGCGCGAUAAGAAGGCUCCUGGCCGCCGACUCAUAGUUUACCUCGCUUUUCGUUUGCUUGUUUAGUCGGUCGCUCGCCACGAUGCUGGCUAAGUUUGCCUCUGGGCAAUUACUGGGGGCAACGGCGGGCUGCUCUACGCGGCAGGCGGCAAUGCCCGCACGUUGCCUCAGCGGUGUCUCCUCGCGCGCCCAACAGCCUCUGUUAUCCUCGGGCCAGACUAGCGCCCAAUUGCCUAUUCAAAGUCAUCGCUGCGCUGUAAUUACGCAAGGCCAGGCAAACAGCUCGCUGCGCCUGCCGAUUGAGUUGGACCUUGAGACGCCGUUGCCCGGCUUUGAUAGCAUUUCGUCGGCGCUGGCGGACCUUGCAGCUGGAAAGGUUGUGGUGGUAAUUGACGACGAGGAUCGGGAGAAUGAGGGCGAUCUCAUCAUGAACGCGGACAAGGUCACCACGGAGACCAUGGCAUUCUUCGUCGAGUACACCAGCGGUGUGGUGUGCAUUUCCAUGGAAGGCCAGGACCUGGACCGCCUCAAGCUGCCGCUGAUGAUUAACAGCGCGGAGAACGAGGAGGCCAUGUACACCGCCUUCACGGUGACCGUGGACCUGCGCGACGACAUCACCACCGGCAUCUCCGCCUCCGACCGCGCCAAGACCAUCCGCCGCCUGGCUGACCCCUCCGCCACCUGGACUGACUUCCGCCGCCCCGGCCACAUCUUCCCGCUGCGCUACCGCCCCGGCGGCGUCAUCGUGCGGCCCGGCCACACGGAGGCCGCCGUGGACCUAGCGCGCCUGUCCGGCUCCUUCCCCGCCGGCGUGCUCUGCGAAAUCGUCAACAAGGAGGACGGCAGCAUGUCGCGCACGCCGCAGCUGCUGGAGUUCGCCAAGCGCCACGGCCUCAAGUGCAUCACCAUCGCCGACCUCAUCCGCUACCGCCUCCGCAACGAGGCGAUCGUGACGCCCGCCGGCGAGCCCACGCCGCUCACCGCUGCCUCCGGCGCGCGCCUCACCGCGCAGGCCUUCCGCAACGCCGUGGACGGCACCGAGCACGUGGCCUUCGUGCACGGCGCUGUGGCCGACUCGGCCUCGGACGUGCUGCUGCACGUGCACCACGAGCGCACCGUGGCGGACCUGCUGGACUGCGCCGCGCCCGGCACCAGCGCCGGCGGCGCUGCCGACUGCAGCCUGCCCGCAGCCAACGCGAGCUCGCUGGACGGCGCGCUGCGGUCCGUGGCGGCGGCGGGCGCGGGCGUGGUGGUGUACCUGCGCGGGCAGAGCGCGCGCGGGCUGCCGCCGUCGGCGGAGCUCGCGGCGCUUGGCAGCGGCGGCGCGGGCGCGGGCGCGCUGUACUCGUGCGACCUGAAGGACGCGGCGGUGGUGGCGCAGAUGCUGCGGCAGCUGGGCGUGCGCUCCGUGUCGCUGGCGGGUGGCGAGGGCGCGAUGGCGACGGCGCUGCGCAGCUGCGGCCUGGCGGUGCGGCCCGCGGCGGCGGCGGCGGGAGGCGCGGGCGCGGCGACGCAGCACGUGAACGGCAACGGUGCCAGCAGCAACGGGCACGUGCACAGCUCGCCGCUGCAGACCGCGGGCAUGCGGUGAGCGGCGGCUGUGCGCCGGAACGCAGGGCCGGGGGGCGGGGGGCGGGGGUCGGGAGCGGGAACGAGAGCGUUUAGGGUGGCGCCGUGAGGCACCGUGUUAGGAGCGCGGCAACUUGGUCACGACUGACUGACGUGUGCGGUUGACAUGACGGCGUGGUAGUGCGCAGAUCCCACGGGCAGCGGGCAUGCGGGUUCGGGACAUGGGCGGUGUGCACGGCAGCGCGGGUCUGCAACGCGGGUCUGUACGCAGGUUCACAUGUGUCGGCAUGGGCAUGGGCAUUGUAUUUGCCAGUAGCAACCGGGUGUGACGGGAACAGGUCGCAUAGCGAGGAGGCAGGACGGCCCCCGCGGGCACGGAAAUACUCUACCUGAAGGUGCGGAAUCGAAGGCGCGGCUCGGGCCUGUGCCCAGCCAGCCAGCGGGCACGGCUGUGAGCGUGUGAGGUUGCCGUGAUGGAAUGUUCUGCUUGGGGGCUAUGCGAUUCGGGUUGGCCCGCGCCCAACGAGAGACUAGGCUGAGUAAUUGAGAGGACAAGCAACGUGAGGGUGCGUGGAUGCGACCGACUCUGCUGCGCAUGCGGGUCCUGCGGAAGGUGUUGACUGUUACAUGGCAUGUCUGAGUUGUAGCUAGGAUAAUGACUGCUUGGUGAGUGAGCGCGUAGGUUGACGUGUUACGUGUGCAUGCCUACAUACAAUUGACCGCUGACAGAACUGUCGUGUUUUGGUUUGACUACGGUAGUGUUAGUGUACAUGAUGUCGCUACGGUAACACCUACGUUACAGGCGUGUCGCGGACUGUGUGUGGAGGGGGGCGGUGUGUGACCGCAGUGCCCGGGCCAUGGGCAAGUGCAAUAGCAAGGGGGCGGACAUUCGGACGCACGUGUGCAAGAUGGCCCAAGCCUAAUGAGAGACGGGUGAGAGUGUGAGAAGCAAGGAUUGUGCGUGCAGUGAGUAUGAGUCCAGCAGGUGGACAGGAACAGGCGGGUGCUUACGGCGCGGCGUGUGGUCCGAUGGCCCACGGCCAGUCGCAAGAGGUGUUAGCGGCACGAUCGCAUCUACAGCAGCAACGGCCAGGAGAUUGCGGCGGGCACAUACGGUACGCGCGGAGGCAUGACGCGUCAAGCUGGUGCGUGCGGUCCUUGUGAUAGACUGCAUUGGCAUGUGCUGUAAUGUGGAAAGUACCGUACCCAAAUAGCGGACCUCCUGGAUUAUGAGUCAGAACGGCUGCAGGUGCGAGCAACGCGGACGCAUGCUGGAUACAGUCACGCGAUUGCAAGUGCUGCCAGCGGCAUCAAAGAGUGUAGUGCAGCGGGAGCCCAGUGUCACGCGAUUGCAAGUAGGGACCAGUGUCGGGGCACGCGAGCACGGCAUCAGCACACGGUAUCGCGUGACACCAGGGACGCAGCGCAAAACAUAAUUACAAGACCUUUCAGGAGGCCGCGGUCGAGCGACAGCAUUCCACACCGCAUACGACCUCCAGCUUGUGGCUCCUCAUGCCGCUCCAGCGCGCGUAUCACGUACUCGCCCGCGGUCAUUGCACCACCGCCUCACCAUCCGGCACACAAGAUUCCCCCUGUCGCGCAACCAUGCUCUCCGUAGGCCCGUUCACACAGCCCGUCCAAACAAGCCACCUACGUGGCCCAUCACAGCGCCACACCUUGUCGCAUGCAGGUAUACCAGCCCGCAGUCCUGACACACAACGGGUUUGCGCGCAGGGGCCUUCCGGCACCGGCCAAGCCGCCCAGCGCUGUCUUGCCCACGCAAGGACUCAUCCUACUAGGCAGCACCCAGCGCCGCUCGCCUCUCCACCUCCGCAGCCGGCCGAAGCGCCCCGUCUCCCAGGCUCUUCCUUCAUGCAGCAUCUCCCGCCCUGCGCUCCAGUCAGCCGCUAUGGCCAGGUUGUCCAGCCGCUUCGCGCUGCGGGUGCGCCUUCUUCCGCAGUCCGCUUAGAUGUAUGUCGCUGCGAGGGGCAACACACAAGGACCGAGGCGAAAAUGUCGUAAACCGACGGACCCGCCGGUGUAGCACCGGUGUGAGACCAACCAGAGCCAGCGCCCGGCGCACAUCGCACGCUCCAUUCCUCCGCCCCGUCAACUGUACUGCUGGUUGAUAGGUGUUGCUUGGCAGGAACGCCGUGCCAAGCCAGCUGCUGUCCAAGCUGGAUCCAACAGGACGGCCUCCCCUUCCCUCCCACACACACGCCCCUCUUGUCCCGCCUCAUCGCCCCUUCUUAAGGCUGAAUACGUGUUCCCUGCGCUUCCCACCCUUUUCCUUCCCUUCCUUGCUUUUCCUAUCCCACCCUUUCCCGCUCUCACCAGGCAUCUUGCCGACGGACACCGUGUGCCGCUCCGUGUACAUGCGGCCUGCAGGCGCAGCAGCAGGAGCCGCAGCAGGAGGCAGGGGCGGGGCAGAGCAGCUGAGGCAGCGCAGCAGACAGUGCAACUGGGGCCGACGCAACGCACGCAGGGCGCCUGGGCCCGGCCGGUCAUGUCCUGCAGCGCCUCUCCCUACGCCGCUCAGGCAGCGUGCAGGCGGCGUGCGUUUGCACGCCCCAGCAGCAUGCCCCAGUGGUCUGCCACGUGCCAACUACUGUGAGGCCCCCUUCGUUCCCGGCGCAGCCCGCCAAAUCCGGAUCCAGAAGGACUCACCCACUCGAGGCAUGACGCACCACACCAGCGUCAGGUUCACGUCCCGCCCGCGCAGGUUGUGCCCGGGGUCGAUGAACGCGUACUUUGUUUUAUGGUUGGACAGCUUGAAUACCGCCUUGUCCUAUGGAAUUUGGUUGUGAUGUUGGGGCCAAAGAAGGGGUUGGGUUGGUUGGGAUUGGCUUCACCUGGAAGCUUAGCUUGUUCGUGUUCAGGCAGCAGCGCUGACGGUUCAGUCUCAGACCCUAAGCAAGGCCCCAGCGCUCCCUCAAGCCUCGUCACUGUGUAAGGUAGGGGCCUUUCGUGCGCCUGCAGCGAGAGCCCGGCGGCCAACAACGGCUGCCGCACCAGCUACAGCACGGCACGCAGGUGCCCCUCUUCCCCGCGUCCUCUCCCCUACGCGCCCGCCGCUUGCCUUCUGCUGCACAAUGGAGUCCCACAGCACCACCUCGUUGAUGCGGUUCUCCUGCGUCUCAUACUCCGCCUGAACGUAGACGAACAGCUGCUUCGUGUUCCAUGUGAACACGCUGCGAAGAUCGGCGUUGACGUCAAACGUCACGACCGCCUGCGAAGACACACGUGAGAUUCAGUGUGGCGAACCGCACUGGCAGUAUGCCAAUAAUCGGGUGCGGCGAGCUCAGCAUGGUCGGCCAAGCCCUUACUUGGUCUUUUCCGCCGUGGUGCUGCACAAGGCGCCGAACUUCCCGCAGUCCUAGCUUAAUGUUUGGAUUGGACUUAUGGAGUAGAUCUGCGCAGACGCUGCAUGUUAUCGCCUGUCCCAAGAAAAUGCCCUGCCCGAUCACUCGUGUAUUCGCGUCUUGCCUGUUGAUGACGUAAGGAUGCAUAGCACAGCUGCUACCGUUCCAAAGAACGUUACAGCCGUAUUCAGGCGGUGGUAUAUCGAGUGCAUUUCUCUUGCGACCUAGCCUACUGACUGAGAGACACCUGAGUCUCAAGGGCAGUAUAUUUAUUUGCCAACACUUGUACACUGUCCUGCUUUCUGGUGUCGAGCGGAUGAGUGUGCCAAAUUGGGGCUUACAUUCCGCCUGCGUGUCCCGCCUGCUUAGCCCCCCUCCGCGGCUUCGCCCACGAGGUCUGUCUCGCCUAGUCGCCUUCCUCUGCACCUCCGCCACUCCCGCCCAGCAUCAAAACAACUGCAUCUUGGUCACCGCUCCAUCGCAGAACCGAAUGACCUUGACGUCACGCUCCACCGGCAGCCACCACACCGACGACAAGUACGACGACACGCCAACCGCCUCCGCCUCUUUCGCACCCCCGCUUCCCCCCGCCCUUGCCCUUGCCACAUCGGCCGGCGCCGGCCCGCCCAGCAGGCACCGCACACUGUCUGCCCGGCACCGAGCCAGCAUAACGUACGAUAGCGCGCCAUAUGGCGACGGCUGCGCCUCGAAGCCGCAGGCGGGCAGGUCGCACUCGUCCAACAUCAGCUGCUCCAGGCGGGGGCAGGCGGCCGCCAGGCGGGACACCACGUCGGGCGACAGCUGCGUAAGGAAGGGGCAGGUUGGCGCGUGGGGACGGAGCAAGCAAGGGCACGGGGCGGCGCGUGCUUGGUGCAGUGUCCGCUUGGAGUGGUAUGGGCAUGGUCAGAUCUGGCCCACGUGACCCCUUUCCGUGCCCACCCUACCCACAAACUAUUCCGAACCCAUCCUACCCACCCCAUCCAGUGCUCACCUGGCAGCAGUGCCGCAGCCGCAGGUUGCUCAGCGCCCCACAGGUCGUAAGCCAUCCCAGCAGCGCCUCGCAGCUAAACGGCCGCCGCCCCGCGUCCCCCACCUCCCCUUCUCUCUGUCCUUGCUGUGUUCCCCCCUCCUCCGCCUCCGCCACCUGUGAUGCCGCAGCGGCGGCCGCACCACCCCUGCCACUGCCCUCCUCCACCGCCACCACACCAGCGGCGCGGCCACGCCCCGCCUGGGCCUGAACACGACCCACACGCGGUCGCUGGUAGCCGGUCUGCUCCAGCCGCAGCUGACUCAGUGCAGGCGUGCCGCGGCGGCGCAGCUCCCCUAGCAGCCCCACCGACAGCCCCGCCACGCCCACCAGCGCCAGCGUGCGCAGCCGGCGCAGGGGAGGCAGCGAAGGCGGCAGCGGCAGCGGCAGCGGCAGCGGCAGCGGUAUCCGCGCCGCGUGCUCAGCACCAGCAGCACCAUCGGUGCGCGCGCUGCCGCCGCCGCCGCCUGUUCCAACCUCGCUGCCUCCUGCUGCCAGCUGCCCGACCGGCCUGCCGUACAGGAGUGAGAGCAGGUCGUCGUCGUACAGCUCCGUGGCACUGCCGCCCACCAGCUGCAGGUCAGACAUGGCCCACCGCCGUACACAGCGCCGCCGUACGCACUGCCGUACACACCGCCGCCGCUGCUGUGGCGGUGCUUCUUCUUCUUCUUCUGCCUCCGCGGCCGCGGCAGCUUCCAACCCCUCCCUCUGCCCCUCCUGCCCCUCGUGCCCCUCCGCCUCAUGCCCCUGCAUCGCCAGUCCUUGCUGCCCCCCCACCGCCGCCUUCUGCUCCGCCAGCCAGCCCAGCGGCCGCAGCAGGUCCUCCCGCCGGAAGGGGCCCAGGCAGUGGAUGAGGUGCAGCUCGUGCAGCUGGACCAGGUGGGGAGAAGCGGGGUGGGAGAGGGGUCGGGCUACUCCAAUCCCAACCAACGGGGGUUGUAAUCGAAUUAUCGAAACCAUACCCAAUAAGAGGAGCUGCAGGGAUAAGUAGACGCAGAAGACACACCACGCAGGAAGGCAAGUCGACACAGGAAGGCCAGACACACGCCGCACGCCCCUAGCAAGCCCGAUUGCGUUGUGGCCCGGACACACAGGCGACGUGUCCGCCGCAAGUACUGCAGCCUUUCCGCCGUUGCCCGAAUGCACCGUUUGCGCCCUUCCUCCCUUCCUCCCUUCCUCCCCAUCCCCAUCCCCUCAUCUCUUCCAACCUUCCACCCUUCCUCCCUUCCAUCCCCUGCCCGCCCACCUUGCAGCACGCCGCCAGCAGCUCCCCCAGCCCGGCGCCCGACACGCCCGCCAUCUCCAGCCGCAGCGCCUGCAGGUGCGGGCAGGCGGCGGCCAGCGCCCGCAGCCCCACGUCGUCCACGGCCGCCCCCACCCCCAGCUCCAGGCGCGAGAGCACCAGAGAGCGGUGCGGCGGAGGGGGCGGGCACGGGGCGGGCGCAGGAGGCGAGGCGGCGGCGGUGGUGGAGGUGGUGGAGGGAGUGGCGGUGGAUGAUGGCAGGGAAGAGGAGGCAGAGAAGGCGGAGGAGGAGGGGUGCGUGGAGGCGGGGACCGCUGGUCUGCCGCAGCCGCACAGGCGCAGCACGGCGGCGGUGUUGAAGCCCCACCCCACGGCCAGGCUUCUCAGGCCGUGCAAGCCUGCAAGCUGCUGCCCCUGAGCCACCUCCGCCGCCACCUCAGCCCUCUCCGCCACCGCCGCCUCAACCUCCACUUCCGCUUCCUCCUUUGCAUCUCCCUCCUCUCCAGACGAGUCGCUCGCCGAAGGGGUUUGCGCUGCAACCGGUGCCGCCUCUGCCUGAGGCAGGCGCGCGCCGCACCCAGGAGGCACCCGGUGUGGCACACACUCCGUCGGAAGUGGCGCCAGUGGCGGCGCCGCCGCCGCCGCCCGAGGUAUCGGCGGCGCCGCCGUCCGCAGCAUCGGCGGCGGCAGUGCCGCGGGCGCCAGGUCGCGACAGCGGCUGAGCCCCAGGUGCUGCAGCCGCAGCCGGCAGCCACAGGGAUCCCUGGCCUCACCGCUGCCAGCCCCCACUGCCACUGCCACUCCCGCCGCCGUAAAAUCCCCGCCAGCCGCGGCCCCGGCUACAGCCUCCGGCACCGCAGUAAGCUGUAGCAGCGCCAUCAGCUGCUCUGGCCCAACGCCCGAAGAGCCGUUCAGCUCCAGGCGCUGGAGGCGGCGCAGCGCCGGCUGUAGCACCGUCAGCCAGUCGUCGGCAGCUGUAGCAGCCGCCGUGGUGGCCGCAGCAGCCCUGGAAGAUGAGAUGGCUGUAGCAGAUGGCCGGCUCGCUGUGGCGCUUGCGGCCUUGGCACUAGCGGUUCCAUUGGGGGGCAAGCCCUUGGCAGUAGCCGCACCCUUGGUGGCAGCAGCAGCGCUCUUGGCAGAAGCAGCAGCGCCACCACGAGCAACGCUGCUACUGCUGCUGCGGCUGUUGCUACUGCCGCUUCGGUUGCCGUUGUCGAAGAAGCCGCCCAGCUCGAGGUCACACAGGCGCAGGUCUGCAUACGGUAACGGGCAGUUGGUGUUGCUUCCAGCGCUCUGCUCAAACCCACGCCGCUCCGACAUGGAAAUGAAAAUUUAUUCGGCCCUUUGAUGCUUGUUCCUAACCCCGCUCUUCCGUUCUGGGCUUUGGGGAGUUUGGGAUGAGGGCUCUGUCCCCGUCAACCGCCCACCUUGCAAGCACUCCAGUCGCGCCACCGCCUGUCGCAGCUCGCCGCCCCAGGCCCGUGCCACCACCGCUGCCGCCGCCAGCGCCUCCGCCCCCGCCGGCUGCCCAGCCGCUGCCGCUGUAGCUGCUGCCGCCGCCGCCGCCGCCACGCCGCCUGCCCACCUGUUCACAGGUGGCAUGGCAGCCCCCAGCGCACCCGCCGGGUCUCUGCCACCCCCGCCGUUAGCUCGCCUGGAGGAUGACCCGUUGCGGCUGCCCGCAGCAGCCCUUGCUGCUACAGCCGCGGAUGCGGCUGCUGAGUGCGCGGCUACUGCCGCCGCAGCUAAAAUGCCUGGCGGCGCGAGCGGGCAGCCGGACAGGUCGAGGGCGGUGAGGUUGCGGCAACAGCCCUGUGUGGCAUAAGGACAGGAUCAUGACCAUUGUCCCGACGGAAAUCCAUACAGUUAGAAUGACAGGCUGAACACAACCGCUGGCAUAAUGCCAAGCUGCACCUAGGCCCCCAAUCAGCUGGAAUUGGAUGACACAACACCGCACACGCACACACUUCGCACGGACACGCAUGCUCUGUUGUUCUCUUGCCCUGUCUCUCCCGAACACGAACACCACCAAUCGGAUCCCCCACGCACCGCUCUCCCCAGCAGCCGCAGCUCUUGCAGACCCGCAGCCGCCGAGUGUGUGGCCACCAGAGUGUGCAGGUGCGGCAGCAGUACACUGCCGCCACCCUCGGGGGGCAUCUCCGCCGCCGCCAGGAGCGCCAAAGCAAGCGGCGAGCCUUCAUGGCUCCGAUGUGCAACCUGUACAGAGGGGCACGGGCCAAAGCCUCUUCAAGCCCUCCACCUGUACUGUACAAUUCCAUUGCCAGGUUUCAUCCUGGAAAGGCUUCAAUCUAGACCCUCCCAAAGACGGUGAUUCAAUGCUUUUUGACGCCGUGGAGCUGGUCAAGCGCAGCGGGCAAAGCUGAAACCGUAACCAAACCCAAUGCUGCGAGCGCGGCCGUGACCGCUCUAAUCACCUGCAGGAGGGCCGCUAGUGCCGCGCUGUCGCCGUCGGGCUCAGCGACGCCGUCACCAUGGUCACUGCCCCCCUCCCCCUCAAAGGCCGACGGCCACUGGUUCCCAACCGCCAACGCAGCUGUGGUCAGGGCUACACCCGUCGCCCUGCCGUACAGCCCAUGGUACGACAGAUCCACGUAGGUCGGCGCCACCGGCUCCAACUGACCCUGCUGCCGCUGGCGCCGCUGCGGGACCGCGGCCGCGCCGCGCGCGUGCUGCGCGAGGCGCGUGACGAAGGAAGCGAACAGCUGCACCGCCUGCCAUUGCGGAUGCGGAGAUGAGCGAGAGCCCGAUUUGAAGAGGAUUACCGCAGGGGCCGCAGAGGCAGCACAAAGUGUCUGUGGAUGGUCUGGGCCCUGGUCUGGGCCCAAAAGGAUCUGCCGUCUAGAGCUCCCGCACCAGACCCGAGUUCCAACUGCUGCUGGCGGCGCCUGCACGCUACGCUCAGUGCCCCUCCACCUGCGCCUGCACACCCACGCGCUCCCUGACACCAAACACCGACGCGCUCGCGCUCGGCCCGCCACACCCUCCAUACUAACCUCCCUCUGAUGCUCCUCCCGCCCGCCCCCCUUCGGCACGCCCUCACCUCUGCGCUGCAGGCUGGGCUGGUCGGGUGCGCCGGCAGGCACGCCGCCCCCGACCCCAACACCAGGCCACCACCUCCAUCCGCACCCGCACCAUCGCCAGCCACACCGUCACCUGGACAGCCGCCUCUCGCCUCCAACCCCACCCGGGCCCCGGCCCCCGGCCCCGCCCCCGCGCCCGCCUCCGCUCCUGACCCCGCAGCCCUGGUUCCAAGGGGCCGCAUGGGCCCCGACUGGCUCGCCGCCCCCGCGUCCGUGACCACGGAUUCUCCGAGCAGCGGGGGCACCAGCGGCGGCUGCAGCGCGGGCCGGUAGGUGGACGGCUGGGGCCAUGCGGCGGGGGCCAGAUGCGCGGCCGCGGGCAGCUCGGGUGCCAGCCACAGCGUGUGGGCGGCCGGCAGGUGCGUCACGUGCGUCACCGGCAGCCCCGGAACCUGCAGCGUGGCGUGGCGAGCGUGUGGGUGUCGGUGGUAGGCAGUUGCAGCGGUCGUCAUGCCAACCAGGGAUGGGGUGGGGCAGCGACCGUGCAGGUAGCGUGGCGGCGUGUAAACUGGGAUUGAUAUACCGUACGGGUUGUGACGACAGGGCUGCGGGCUGCUCGUACAGUCAGGAAGUACUCACCGGCCAAGUGCCGGGGUCGCCAUGCCUGCCCUUCCCACCGACGGAGGCCGGCGCUGCAGGGGCGGGAAGCGCAUGGUCGCGAUCGCCUGCGGCGGCGACCGCCACCGCCGUCGCCGCCGCCUCGCCGUCGCGCGGCGGAUGGUGGGCGGCCAGCACGGCAGCAUGGCUGUCAGCGAGCAUCGCCACCCGCCCAUCACUCAACAGCACCGCCGCUGCCGCCGCGGCUUCGGCAGGGGGCUGAAACAUGUGUCCGCGCUCGAGCCUGAGCCGCGCUGCGCCAGCACCGCAGCGUGCUGGCGAGGUCGGCUUGUGGCGGCUUGCGGCGGCGGCGGCGCCGCCAGCUGCGCUGGGCAAGGCGCUGGGCUGAGUGAAGGGCGUGUCAGGCCGAAGGCUGUGCGCCGGAUGAGGAUGGCAGGCCAGGGCCUGCGACGUGGGGUUUUGGGUCGGCUGUGGGGCGGUUGCGUGGAGCAAGGCACGCCAGUCGCCAUCGAUGACGGCUCGGUGGCGCUCCGCCCUCUGCCGCCAGGCCUCCAGCCCACCAAGCCCGGCGCCGGCGCCACCUGUGCAGCCAGAGUUCAGCGAGCGUUGUGUGUUUAUGCAGGCCAGGCGUCACAGUUGGAUUUAUGAGCAACGCGCAUGUGGGUCGGGUGCAGGAAGCCACGGCGCCGCCCAGCCCGCCCUAAGAGGCGGCCGCGUACCUUGACACGACAGGCGGCCGUGUGUUUAGGGAGAGCCCGGGUCACAGCAACGACUGAGCCGGCCGCGAAGCGGGACUUGCCUGUUGUAUCCGUUACCAGAAAUAGUAGCGUGUGGCAUGUGGCUGCCACCGCGGCCUUAUCCAAGGGCCGCAGGCGGCGCAGCACAUCGGCGAGUAUGGCUGUAGGGAGGUCGCAAAAGGACCGCGCCAGCACGCCAGCAGCCUCCGGCACGCACUUACCAUCUUCAGGCAGCAUGGCUGUUAAAGCUGUUGCUAUAGCAUAAUUAUAUCCGCAUCAUCGUUCGGCAACCGGGAGUGCCCCUUCACGCCUAAGACGCGCAAACUCGAAACCUCGCCAACUGCGCCCGCGAGGUGGACGUGAGCUACGCAUGUGAAGUUGAUGAAAUUAAAUGAUCUACGAGUGCAGCUGGCGCUGGAAGGGUCGGUAGGAAUGCUUGAUGGGGCUGGCGCGGGUUCUCAUCCAUCGCGGUUCUCCUUCUAUUAAUCGAGUCCGCCCGGCUCCCAAAGCAUUUGCUUUCGACACACCAACACCACAACUGUCACGACCAAACUACGUACUACCUCAAUUACAUAUCAAACCCCGCGGCGUGCUACCUCCUUGCAUUCGCCUCUCAGAGUUUCCCUGCUCCCGCCAGCGCUACCAGGCCUGGAUUUUGAUCCUUUGGAAGGAUGGAGACGCUGUGGCCGGCUCCAUACGCCCUACCGUAAGUAGGAACGCAGAAGAAGCCGAGGAGACACGCAGUUGGGCCGCGCGAAAGUCGGUUGAAACGCAGCUCAAGCUGCAUUGAUAGAAAGUAAUUUGUGCUGCAAACUGCGUUCGGAUUUGGUGGGAAGGCAGUCGGGCGUUGUCGGGGAGAACGCGGCAAAACUCUGCAGACGCGGCCAAGCCUUUGCGUGCUGCGCCCUAGUCCAGGUUCCUGUCUGAUAUCACGGCGUAUUGAUUGGGCCGGUCAGAUAGACAUAAUUGCGCCUGGCGUGCGCCGAGCGGGCAGUUGACGCGCGACUGCUUUUAUGCGCAGGCUCCAGUCUGCGGCGAUGGCGCUGUCCGAACAGCAGCUUGGCCAACACAUUGAUUCUGGCAGCGAGGAGGACCACAUCGCGGUCGUGGCGCAGGUCCAGACUGGCAAGAAGCGACGCAGUGUGAGCGCGGAAGAGGACCCAGACUAUGAGGACGCCGCGCAAGGCGCGCAAGGCAUAACGCAUGAUGGUAAGCAAUUCGGGGAGGGCCUGGACAGAUUCUUGGUGCUGGACCCUGCUCGCCAUUCAAAUGCUCGAGGGCAGCUCGAGUUUCCUUCCAGCUCUGACUCCCAAGGCGAUGCUUAGAAGCGGUUCAAAUCCUCUUUUUCUAUCUAAGGAAAUCGCGUUGGGAUCGUUUUAGGUCCUGUCAGGCGCAGCCCUGUCAGCUCCGACUGGGCACGCCACCGCCACCUGGCACGAACCACCCGGUUUCAUUUUACCCCCGCCCCACUCUGGCUGUCCGCUUGCCAACGCAUUCAGCCAUAUGCCAGUUUUGACCACUAACACGAUGCUCUCUUCUCUUUCUUUUGCAUUGUGGUGGCUACUCGUCUGUAGGUACAUCAAACAAGGCCGGCUACCGAGGCGUACGGCGCCGGCCAUGGGGCUCCUACGCCGCCGAGAUUCGGGACGCAGGCUGCGGCAAGCGCCGGUGAGCAUUUGCUCCUUGACAUGUAUGGAACAUGUCCUACUCGUUUCGCCAUGCGGUAUGCUUGUACGGGGAUUGUCCUGGCCUGUCUGGCCCUAAGCCACCUGCCUCCUGAGCCAGCGGCCUCGAAGCCUGUCGAGGAAUCUUGUGGGAACUUUGGCUACAGGUGGAUUGGCACGUUCAAGACUGCUGAGGAGGCUGCACGGGCGUACGAUGAGGCCGCCAUUGCGCUGCAUGGGCCUCGCGCCAAGGUGAGACGCGCUCGAAUGCACAGUUUCGCUUGUCUUGAUCUGGGUCGGAUGACUUGCACGUCGCCCUGAUAUUGCUUGCACCCACCGUAACUGUGCGAUUCAAGCCAAGUCCGCGCGUCAGUUAUGCCAGCUAUCCGAUCACAGCGUGCCCGCCUGCGAGCCCCCGCGUCAACCUUCAGGCCGCUGACGCAACCCCGCUGCGCCCCCUUUGCAGACCAACUUCACCUACCCCUGCCAGCAGCAGAGCGCCGCCGCCGCGCCAGCCGCCGCACACAAGGCCCACAAGCCGCACGCCGCCGCCGCGCCGCAGCACCACAAGCCGGCGCACCACAGCCAGCAACCUGCUCAGCCGCGCAAGCAGCCGCUGCACCCCCGGCAGCCGUACCAGCAGCACCAGCCCCCCCAGCUGCCGACGCAUCAGGAGGAGGAGCAGUACCGGCGCAAGUCGGACGACUCAGACACCUCUAUGACCGCUGCGCUGCCGCUGCCGCUGUCGCUGACGGGGCAGCUGGGCCUGCCGCCGCUGACGCUGCCGGGGCUUGAGGGUCUGGACCUGAUGGCGCUGCAGUCCAACCCCGCGCUGCUAGCCGCGCUGCUCGCCGCCACGCGGCAGCACCUCCCGGGGUUGGCCGGGCCGGAUGCGCAGCCCGCCUGCCUGCCGGAGCAGCAGCUGUCGGAGCGGGUCUGGGUCCAGGAGCAGCCGGUGCAGGGGUGCGAGGAGGAGGAGGACGGGUUGGAGGAGCCGGAGCCGCCGCAGGUGCUGCGGCCGGAGCAGCUUCGGUCGCUGCAGGUGCUGGCGGAGGUGGCGCACCUGUUCGGGCGCCGCGACUUCUGCAUGUCGUGACCUUCGCCGGCGUGCCAGGUUCGGCAGGGCGUUAGGUAGGCAGCCGUGCAGGCUCAGCCGGGGUGACGUGGGCGAAGAAGAUGGCAAAGUGAUCUGGGUCUAUGUGGUGGGGGCUUGGGCAGUCAUUCGCAGGCCCCCAAAUAGGUUGGGAAUGGGUUGCCAAGGUACUUUUCCCGUGGGGCAGCAGCUUGGUAGGCAGACCGCGGGUGGGUGCAGGCGGCGCGGCUCUGCAGUGCUGUGCCGGGCUCCCGGAGCACGCUCCAUUCUGCGCCAUGUGAGUCAUGUGCGUGGGACGCCAGCGUAGCAGUCUUACGGUGCGCCUCAGCUGUUUCCUGUGUUUGUCGACAGCCUGGCGUCGAUUGUACUUUUCGGCUGUGCCACGGCGAGGCGGUGACUGCGCACAGACGAAGAACAAGGGGCGAGGGAUGAGACGACGACAGGACUGAGUGUGUUGGGCAUGGACUUCGUGCGGGAUGAACUUAUCAGGGGCAGUAGCCCAUGUUGGUGGGCACAUGUUUGGUGCGGUACCAAUCAUGCAUAGAUGCAUAACAUGAGGCUACCACAGACACGACCGCAGGUGGACGGCUGCAUGUCCGAUUAUUUUGGUUUCGAAGCCGAAGCUGUGUGUGGUGCGUUUUGAGUGGAUGACAACGCACGCGAUAGCGUGCCGGUGAUUCUUGCCGCUACAUGGCGCAGGCGCUGUGCAAUCGGUACAUGGUGAGGCACGCUCCCGACUCAUGGGAGCUGAGAUGGGGACUGAUGGUGUUAAGGCCUUUAUACAUAUUCUACGGCAGCACAACGUCAUCAGGAUUAAGGCGAAUCCAAUGUGUGGCUGCAAGCGGCUCUUGACCACGCAAGCCACAGCCAACGAUUGACGCUUCAUAAGGAGUGUGUAUGGGUACCGCAUGUGGAUGAUAAUCCUACCGAGAGGGACUGUGGUGGUGUCUGACACCUUCGCAAGACGGGCGUAUGCGUGAGAAAGUGAGGGUGCAAUUAGUGAUGCCAGUGAGGUUACAGGUGGCACGCGCCAUAUUCGUUUCCGCCAACUUGAAAGACGUUGGGAGGCGAGGAGAGACAGGACAAAGCUUAGGCGACUAGAUAUACUGCCAACGGCAUUGCAUGGUCGGGCUCAAUUUCCCCUGCCACAAUAAUUCGUGUAUCUAGCACGCACGUGAGCAUGGCAUCGUCAAUGCAAUGUGCGGCUGAGGUUGCCUGCAGGCGGGUGAAUGGGCUGUGAUUACUUUUGUUUGGACUCCCCUGUACGCCCGCCGAGCUCAGGCCUAGCUCUUUCAUUUUUCUUUCUUUGGGGGUCCAUGCGUUGCUUGGGGCCUGAACGGUAUGGGCCCCGAAGUGGGCGUAGAGCCACUGGGGCGGGUAAAAGACCCCCGACAGCAACACGGUACAAUUCAUCCCUGUGCAAGGGGCAACACGGUGUAACACAGCUGCCCACCUCGACUGCUCUCAUGAACCCGACCCCCUGACCCCAACCACAGCACAGCUGCUCCCUGGUUCGAAUACAUGUCUGCGGCCAUUUCAUCUUCUCCUACUCUCCUAGUCUCGGGGUUAACCAAUGGCCUCGCCCCCCCCCCUCCCGGGCGCCGCGACCCACCGUCCAGUGACUUACGGUUAGACGCUUUAUGUCGGUGGCAGGUGUAUGGGUGCUUCGGGGCAAUCAGCCGAUGAAGCAGCCUCCCCUCGGUUGCGGACUUGAAAUCCGGACGGCGUGUGCCAUAUGCACCGCCGCCCUGCUGCAGAGUGGCUGCGCCGGGCGCCCGCCUGCGUCCUCCUCCUUCACCUCCCCCGCCGCGCACAGCAGCUGCAGUCCGAUUGCGCGGCUUGCAUCAUUGCAUGUUUGCUGAGGGUACCUGUAUGCGGCAUGCAGCAUGCCUGACUGGGCGCUCUAUGCAUGCGACAUUACAAGAAAGGACAGUCCGACCAAGCAUGGGUGCCCAGCACCCAGGUCAGGAGGGAACCAUCUCCGGCCCGAAGGGAAACCGCCCUCCCCCCAGCUGGCUGCCGACCUUCACCAAACCGUGCAUUGUUUCUGCGCAAAAAGCGUGUCUCAGCUGCUACACCGGCAUACGGUAAGUCGAAGUCGCCCUAUGCUGUCAAGGGACAAGAAAAGGUGGCUCUCCCUCGCAAGGGAAAAGUGGGCUGCGCCAAAGGGGGAAUGGUAGAAGCUCAGGAUCUUGCCCCAUGCAUUAGAUAAGAGAGCGUUAGGGGAGCAUCACGCACGUACUUAUGGUUCUUCGGGGGUGGUCUGGUGAGCAAGUUCUGGGCCGUCAAAGUUGGGAGGUCAGUCGUGAUCGGGUUUCAGGAGCCCAUCCUGGCGGAUUUUGAGAAGCGCCCCACAACCAGGGGAUCUAGGCAUUUCAAUAACCAGAGCUAGGGGCCGAUCGCAGCACCGUGUGGCUCAAUUAUGCAUGUUACGAUGUGCACAAACAAAGCGUGGGAGGUCCAUUUGCGCGUCCUGGCGUGGACAAGUCGGGACAUGUCCGCACAUGCGACGCCUGCACGCUGACAUGGCUGGGCUCUCAAGCUCCAGUGCACAUGAAUUUAUUUCAGCUGCCGGCGCACGCUAUCGAUACGUCACAUGACAAAGCGUGGAGCGGGGUGGGUCGUAGGGAUUUCCAUGAAUGCAUCUUCGAAUGCAGAGCAGGACUCGUCAAGGAAAGUCGAUUGGGACCACUUUGGAUGGGUUGAAGGGUUUAAGGGUUUAACCCCUACACGAUAAGUCUGUGUCCGUGAGCAUGAGCAUUUACAUGGCGUCGAAGUCCAUGUGGCCCCACUAACUCUUCUGAGUCCGGAGGCGCUUGAUAGCAAAAAGCAAAGUGUCUUCUAAAGCGUCUAUACGCUGUUUACGCGCCUGAGCACGUAAUGCCCGCUCCACCUUUCCAUCGGGGUCGGAGCCCCUUCUCACGAAGAUCCUCAAAAGCCUUCAGUUGCUCCUUGCGCAUCUCACACCCUACCCGGGUCAGAUACGGUGCGACAACGGCACCAGCCGCACGGACCUGCUGCGCCACCCGAAUGAGCGCGCUCCGCUCCUGCUGUGUCACCUCCACCACGACAUGCCACACCUCCCUACCCUUUGACCGCCACGCGCGCACGUAUCGUCCGGAGACGUUUGCGCCACUCGCACUGGCCACCGCCUCCAGAUUUCCAGCCGCCUUGAGUUUCUCGAGCAGCUCACGGCUAACCGACUUCAGCAGGACUUUACCCUCGUCGACCCCCCCGGAGCACCCUGCUCGGGCCAGGGCGCGCUGAGUGUCCUCUAGCGCGCAACGUUGCUCCUCCAUCUGGACUUGCAGCGCUGCGACCGUGCCUUGCAGCUCCUUCUGCCGCCGUUCAGCUGCAAGCGCAGCGCCCUGGGCCUCUGAGACAGAGGCGUGGAGCGCCAGCGCUUGUAGCUGCAGCUGCUGUAUGCUGUCGCCGUGCUGCGUGGCUGCUGAUGUUUGCUGCUCUAGCUGCCCAAGUGCCUCCUCCAAGGCCGCUAGGUACUCCUGGAUGGUCGCGAGCGCUGGUGUUGUGGCGAGAUCGAACAGGCGGGUCGUGUAAGACAGGCGCGUGAGACGCUGCAGCAGUUUCGUAGCGCGCUGAAAUGGGAAGGCCGCGCCAGAGUCCGGAGUGCCGAUGCUCAUCGCACUAGUGCUGGCAACCGGGCAGGAGUCCUGCUGGUCGCUGACACUACUGAAGCUCCCAAAGCUUUCCAAACGGCACCCAGGCCCACUGCUCGCCGUGCUCGGCGGCAGCUCGGGCUGGGGCGACGAUCGGGCUGAGGUUCCUGCGAAAGCGGCGGCCACCGCCCUGUCGGUAGCUUCACGCAUUUUUGCCUGAAAUGUUUCGUAGAAAUUGUGCUCGGCCAUGUUUUGUUAUCUCGUGUCGUGUUUGGUCAGGUGGCCACUUUGAGUCGUUGUGUUGUGUUGUGUUGUGUUGUGUUGUGUUGUGUUGUGUCCUGGGGGUGGUCCAGAUUGGUCGUACCCGAAUUCGGGUCUGGCACUAUCUUUCUUCAAUCCCCCCCCUGGCGCCCAAGCCAUGUUGGUGCAUGCCUCUUCAUCUCUUUCACAAGCAUAUAGUGACAUCUGCUUCCAUGCCGUGACAAUCUGGUCCGCUUCAGUCGAUGCACCCCGUCAGCGUCACCGCGGUCACUCCGGUACGCCAACACGUAGAAAUUCUGCCGCAGGUGUCGUGCAACACAGAAGCUGUCUGCACUACUGGGAUUCUGGGCGCGGUGGCAACUGCUGUGUUUCCCAGGGCUUUUUUGCUUCUUGGCCGCUGGCCCCUUCCCCAACGCAACUUAGCUGUGCACAGUACAAAAGCCGCCCACCCCCUGAUACGGAGCGACACGUGCCUCCCGAAACGCCAGUUACAGGGAAUGUUCCCGUAACGUAUAAUCCACUCGGUCCGCUUUUUCAGGCACGCAAGGAGUCGACACGCGGCUGUGCAGCCCGAAACAGCGCUUUUUGCACUCUUGCAAGCUCACAUGCGCCAUCUGCCUGUGCAUCGUUCAUUCUUUCUACAUCAUCUUCCGAAUCUGCUCUCCUGCAUGUCUCGUCUAUGACCUAACAGGCAUCCCGCGAGUCUCUGCAUUGGCGGCUACCACACGACAUACCCGCAUCAACACAACCAUCAACGGUUUGCAAGUAUUGCAACGUUUUAAAGCAAACAAUCAAGUCAUAGACGUCAAGAAGGUGUGCAUUCCAUCUGAAUGCAACACCUAGAAGUUCCAAGAGAGAGGGACGGGCAGUGACGCCCAUCGUAUUGUAUGUCCGCCCGCUCCUAGCCCGCUAACAAUGUACAUGGGAUCAUCUUGUAAUGAUCGACGGUCAAGCUGCUGCUUGUCCUGCCGCUUACGGCUGGGCAGCGGCGAACAGAGGGCAGCUGCAAAGCAGAAUGAAAAAUGGAGGGACAAGAUCAGAACCACAACCGAAGGCGUGUCGAGGGGGGGCACGGCGCAACCCAUAGCUAGCCAUUUCUACAUGCCAUGCCAACCCCAUAGCAGCACACAGUACUGCUUUUUAGACAUUAGGACAAGCAAACCUCAAGCAGUCACAUCCCAACUCACCAGUUCUUCGUGUCGUCAAACACGUUGCCCCAGCACACGCCAUCGUUGGCAGGCAGGCAGAAGUCCGACAGGGGGGUGUCGUUCUUCAGCUCCAGGCAGAUCUUGCCGCCAUUCGCCUGGUCCUUGCUCCAGUUCAGGGGGGUAGCCUUAACGGUCUGCUCGUCCACAGCGCCCCAGGUGGCGGACAGCCACUUGCCGGUGCCGGUCUUGGGCUGCACGUACACGCCGGUGAUGGCGCGGCGCUUCUUGUCGUCGGCGUAGAACUCGGCCUUGAGCAGGCUGGUGCUCCGGCCGCAGGGGCUGGUGGCGCUGUUGGGGGUCACCAGGGUGAUGCUGAAGCAGUAAGCAGUGGUGUCCUUGGUGCGGCCGGCCAUGCUCGACAUCGCGGGCGCAAUGGCGAAGGGGGUGGCGCCGGGAGUGGUGACGCACUGGCACUUGGGGAAGUCGGGGGUCUGCAGGGCGCAGGCGGCCGAGGCCUGGGCGUUGAUGCACGACUGGGGCAGGCCGGCGACGGCGUCGCCCAUGCCGCCAACAGAGACGACCACGGUGUAUCCGGCCAGGGCGGGGCGGCAGCCCUGAGUCACCAUGUCCAGCCAGAAGUUGAUCUGGGUGUCAACGAAGCUCUGCAGCUUGGCGCCCUCCUCGUUGGAGAAGAAGGUGGCGCACACCAUCACCAGGUUGCCGGCGCAGCUGGUGGACCCAGGGGUCACGGUCACGCCGAGGUCGGAGGCCUGGGUGGCCACGUCGUCCUGAAUGGUGGCGAUGUAGCCCUGGCACUCGUCGUUGCUGAUGGAGUAGGGGAACAGAACGCGGCUGGCGUCGCUAACGGUCAGCGAGAUGUAGACGCAAACCUGGCAAGGAGGAGGGGGGCUGGGGGGAGGAGGGCUCGGGAUGCCGGGCGUGGAGAUAGGGCAGCAGUCGUUCUGGCUGUCGAACAGCGCAGCCGAGCACACACCCUUGGGCAGGCCAGGGGGAGGAAUGCACAGCUCCUCAAGGGUGGUGCAGCCCUUGCCGUUCUUGUUCAUCGACAGGGUGAUGCAAAUCUCAGCACCGUCGCUGGCCAGGCCCAGGCCCAGCUGGGUCAGGACCAGGGUGGUCGAGCCAACGGGGCCAUCGGUGGGCUCGUGGAACGAGACACCGACCUUGGUGGGCACGCCGUUGAUGGUGGCCUUCACCACCUCGCCGAAGACGUCGCACGCCUCGUAGACGUUGAACUGUGUACAUCAAAAUGAGGAACAAACUCAGAGAACUUCUUGAAAAAAGAACUCACACUGUGGGUUGCUGGCUGCUGCGACUUUGAAACCGCGACCCGAUGCGCCGACAACCCACCUCGAUCUUCUUGAGGUCUGCCUUGGAGCAGCAGUAAUCGGUGCAGCCAGCCGGCACCUUGGCGCUCAGCUUGAAGCAGUACUGGUUGUUGCCCUUGGCAACGACAACAUCACCCAGCUUGUAGGCCGAGGGAGACUUCUUGCACUGGCAGUAAGGGAACGAGGUGUACAAGCCCGACUGAGCACCCUGGGCGGCCCUGCAGAUUCAGAACGAAGGGCACACGCGGCACGGAGUUACUGCCAGCGGAGCAAGCGGAGUCUCGGCGACGGGAUAGCCUGCUUGCAACUUGCUGUCAAAUCCGGUGGUGGCGCUACGAUCACUGUUACGCUAUGCUGAAAUCAUGAAAAUAGCCCGAGCAUGCUGUAAGAGCGCCGGUUGCAAGAAGGCCGACCGCAUUCAAGCUGCGCAGCGGACCCACACGACCACUAUUUACGCCGUGAGCGUAAAUGAUUAUCUUUGACUAGAGUCAGCGAUGCUCGUCUAUUCUACAACUCAGGAGCUUCCCGAAGCGACAAAUCUGUGAAACGCGCGGUCUUGCUACUCACGCAAUUGCGGCCGCGAAAAGAACGGAGACUAGAAUGCUGCACCUCAUUGUCACAGAGGUGGUUCAGCUAUAAAGAAAUUGUGAGGCACGCGGGCUUAUCAUGGGGGGCCCGGCUGGUCGAACGAGUCGUACGCCCGCCAUUAACCGCGGGCGCGUUAGUUUGGCGUGCGAUGCAAUCAUUCAUGCAACCGCGCCACUUCGACAGUGCCGGAAACAACUUUUAUUUUUGUGGGUAUGCAUCCGGCUAUUCGGUAGGACAGCAGCUGCGUUACGCUCAAACUCGGGCAAACAAUUGGGCUAGCGGCGUGAGCUUGCACCUCACAACUAUCAUCACACAAGUUAUUUAGAUACUGGCCUACCUUGGGCCAUCUCCAAAACUGCCUGUCCAGCCCGGGAGCGGCGGAGCUGUUUCGCCCGCGGUUUGGAGUGGCUUUACUCGUGCCGACGCAAGUCCUUGAUUUUUGCAUUAUAAAAAAAUUAUAGAGUACAGCUAUAGCAACCAACUUGGCAAUGGAGCUGCUGGCAUGGUCCAAACGCGGGAAGCUGGCGCCUUCUAGGCUCUUUGGAGCCCUGUCGGCUUCACAAGUGGCUGAUGCUCAAGUUGUGCAUCGCUUUGGCCGGACAAAUGUCUCCUAGUAACCCGGUUCACAAGCGAAGCGUGAAACGAAAGCAAAGGAUGCUGCGCGCCGGAAGCGAAACGUUCGAUGCACCUAAUUGGGCGCCAAGCGCGGAACCUUGCAGUCUCAGAUGCGUGUGUGCAUGGAAGGAGAAGGCUGGCGGAGGCGAGAGGAGCGGGGGCAGGGAUUGGCUUUCGUGGGGGGGGCGGGGCAAGUGGCGCGGGCGGGGCUGGGGGGGCGAAGAACGGUGAAGACCGGUGCGAUGGCACAGGGUAAGGGGCAGGUUGGCGUAGUCCCGAGUCCCGAGAAACAACUUACGCCCAACCCAGGCGCCAAUGAAACAGGUGAAGAGCUUGAGGACCCCCCUCCCGCUGUCCGGGCCUUACACACAAGCAGGCCAAGUGCGGGGGGAGCCGUAGCGCACACCAUAUACCGUACUGUCACUGUGCUCGAUUUCGUCGCUAGUGACGCCCCUGCUGGCUAGGGUAGCAAGGGUAAUGGGGGUGAACGAGCCGGUUGCUUAGGCUGUGCCAGCUUUCCCCGGGUUUCAUUGGGGUCACACACUUCACUGAUGCACAACUUUCAGAGCCAGGGGGCUGCAUCCUCCGGCAAGCAGACGCCAGGAGGGUGUCCCUGGCCGCAUGCGCUGGGUCCUGGAGUCUACGGUACGCGUUGCCGCACGCGUCGGUUGGCCAUCCAUUCCCCAUCCUUAGACACAAUGACUGUGUCAUGUGUGCACGUUGCGCUUUAGGCUCGGCCAGCGGCACCCUGGGUUGGGUGUGUGAUGGGUUGGGUCUCGGUUUGAGAGGUGUGACCCUUGCAGAAAGCAGGACUCUCCACACUCCCCUCCCGUGCUGUGCAUGUAUGUUCCUGCAUGCACGUGUGUGUAUGAAGUGAAUGGCUCAGCCAACGGCUGUGUGUGCAUGUGGCCCGCGUAAAAUGCAAUUUACCAGUGAUGGGCACUUCUAUCAGGGAGGGGUAGGAAACAAAGUGCCAGACCCCAUGCCCCGAAAUCCCCCGGGACCCCCCUUGAGGGGACGACCGACCCCCCGACGGACAAAACCUUGUUGUUCAGCGGUUAAAACCCCUCCAUUUAAUACCAAAGUAGUGUCAAUCGACUCCUCUUGACGAGCACUAUCACUCCGUGCCAUCAGCGGUCCUGUUCUGAGACUUCGGUCACGGGCGGGAUCCUAUCCAUGGAAAUCCCCUCGACCCAGACCACCCCGCGCUCAACUCUUUGCCGCGUGACGAAUGGACAAUGUGCAUCGGCAGCCUUGUUAGACGUGAACUCAUGCGCAUCAGCGCUUCAGAGCCCAGCUGUGUCAGUGCGCAUAUGUUGAAUGUGGAGACAUGUCCCGACAUGUCCACGUCCGGACGCGCAACUUAGCCCUCCCACGCUUUGUUUGUGCUUAUUACGUCAUAACGUACACAUAUGAGCCUCGCACUGCUGCGUUUGGCCCCUAGUUCUGCUUGUGGGGCGCUUCCCGAAAUCCGCCAGGAUGGGCUCCCGAAACCCGACGGACCCCCAGGGACGAGGACCGACCCCCAACUUUGGCGGCCCAGAACUUCCUCACCAGACCCCCCUUUAAAAAACUAAAAGUACGUGCAUAAUGCUCUCCUGAAGCUCUCUAAUAUUGAGCAUGGGGUAAGAACCUGAGCUUUCUAACCCCCCCCUGCCAUGGCGGCCACAAUGCCAAGAUGCUACCUGGCGGCGCCACGCACAGCAGAGCCCUGUGCUCCGCAAGGAUGCACACGUGCACACACGCACACACAUGUGCGAACACACGUGCACCUGCCCUCCAUGCCACUCGCCCCGCCCCUUCCCCCUUCCCUCACCUCAGUUAUGGCUGACUGGAUGCGGUUGAUCUCAAACAGCCGGCUGCGCCCCUCCUGGGAGCCGCCGCCGCCGCCGCCAGACAGGAGGUCUGGAGUGCGUGUGAGGAAGGGGAGGGGGGGGAUGUGCCCGAGCCCGAGGUCUCAAGCGUCAAGGAAUUGUUUCCAAACCAGGGGGAGGAAGCGGUAGGGGGGCGCGAAGUGUGAUGUUUGUCGGGGUAAGGUGUGAGGCAUUGGGCAUGGAGCGUAAGGCGGGCAUCAAGGCGGGUAGGGUGUCGGCCUGUGCGCUGUCACCCAAGCCACGGGCGCACCGUUAGCACGCACGCACGCGCACACGCUCACACUACGCACCUGCGGCCGCCUCCUGCCCCUUGCUGGUGGCGCCGCUCCCGCCGCCGCCCCCACCUGCACCCCCAGCAGCCGCCCCGCCCGGCACCGGAGCGCUCACCACCACCUGCGCCUCCGCCGCACCCUCCACCGCUGACUCUGCUCCUGCUCCCCCUCCUGCUGCGGAUGCUUCCGCUGGUAGCUGCACCACUGGCGUGUGCCGUGGAUGCGGUGGGUGCGGCGCCGCCAAGCCAGUCACCGCCGCCACCACCGGCGCCAGCGCCGCCGCCACGGCAGCCGCCGGCUCCCCUCCCGAAAUCCGCCAGACACCCCCUUAAAAAGUUAAAAGUACGUGCAUAAUGCUCUCCUAAAGCUCUGUAAUUUUGAGCAUGGGGUAAGAAACUGAGCUUUCUACCCCCCCCCUGCUUCUAUCAACCGGUUGUGCUUUCGGGGUUACAUGGAAGAGAUUAGGCUGGUGGGGCACAGUGGUGCACGGUGACAGAGACAGCCUUUCUUCCCUGUCUGGGUCAGGGGACAGGUUGUGCCGCCCUCGAGUCCGAAUCAAAUCGUUCUUUGCAGCAUCCCUCUUCAGGAUGCUGAGUGGAGUUGGUGUCGGUAGUAAAGGCCAAGCCCAACGCCCAUUGCGGCAGGGCCCAGGUGUGGGCGGAACGCCCGCCAAGAUGAGACACGAUGAGAGGCACGGCCGAUCGCGCCGAGUUAAGCCAUCACCACGCCCAGUGUUCCGGCCGGUUGUAACAGAUCAACUGUUACGAUCCCUGUUCGAGACAGGGCUGGGCCCUAACUUAUGCCUCUUACGAGUCUUCUAGUGAAUACGCGGUCACCCAAGUCUCAUCCGUUGGACAUCUCCAACCCCUUGCCAGGCUCUACAGUGAGUUAUGUCCGGGGUGGGCUAGGUACUGCUACCCCAGGGGAGAGCCUUCCCUGGCAGAGCCCAGGCCCUGCCGUAUUCCUUACCGGGUCGCACACCCACCGAAGUACCGAACCACGCGUCACGGUCUGGGAAUCAGCUGCACCCUACGGGACUUCACCAACCUGCCUUAACACUGUCCCAUACCACGCGUUACGUUUCUCCACGAUCCGCGGAACGGCGGAAACACGUAUUGACAUGUGUACACCCGCAAGGAGACCGCGGGUGGGUGAGAAUACUGCGCCUGCGCCUGAGAGCCCCGGGGCAAGCUGUCUCAUCCCCGAACGUAGAACUCAUAGAGUGCAGUCUGUGCAAAAGGGAAAGCGAGAUGCAAAGGACGAAGCAGGAGUCGUGUGACGCGUUAGCGUGGAUAAACGCCUGGCGGAUGAGAUCGGACAUGGCAACUUGGAAAUGGGCAGGUUGGUGUUAGUCCUGUGGACCUGAUAUACCCGAGCCGGUUGAGGGCCUCAUGUGCAAAACCGCCAGCGCCGGUCUGCUGGCCUUAUCUGGGUACACGCAGUACCGGUGCGGUAGCUGACGAUGCCAGCGUUAUUGACGAGUGUUGCGGAACUAAUGCGUACGUAGACCAGAGCGGAAGGCGGAGUGGGCUUGCAGGCGGCACGAGAGUAGGCAGUCAGUAGCGCAAGUUGCGAAUUCACAUGUUACCUCGUAACCGACGGUAAACGCUGCGGACGGUCGCGCCCAUGGCUGGCUGACGGAAGGUGGCUGCUGUAUUGGGAUGGCUGGGCUGGACGACGCCGGCCGGGCUGGCGUGCACGAUGUGCACAAACCGUUCCGCCUGCAGAUUGCAGAAAGCCCUGACGCCAGCUGCGCAUCCUGACGGAUGACACGUUGGGGGCUGUCACUCAGCUGCUGACUCGGGACCACCGUGCUGUCCCCUGCCGCAGUUACCGCCGCAGCCUGGCUGGCAUUCAACUUAUGUUGAAAAUUAUAUCAAUAUGACGCGUUCGUACUGUGCCCCCAAACCGGUUUACAGGGGCAACAGGCAAUAGCCCUGCGCACAAACUCCUGCUUCUCACCAGAGCUUUCGCCGUUAUGCACGGCCACGGGAACAAUGGUCCCGGCCAACCACAUCUAUGAACCGUGUCCGUUAGCCUCUCCUGAGGCUUGUAACCGGAACGCGGCUCCGCUGAUUGCAGUCCCAGGAUGACGCUAACCUAAGCAAACAGUCAAUGCGCAUGAUCAUUUACACACACGAGUGCUCUUAUGUACUGCCCAUAUUAAACACAGUCGAGUUGUGGAUCAGUUGCACGAUUCACCGCGCCAGCCCUCGCGGCGGUGCUUCACGCAAUCCGCAUUCAGCUGGUGGCGAGUCGCCAAGCCGCCCCCAACAAAACCCGCACCGCACCAAGUGCCAUGCCGUUUAGACACACGCGCACAACACUAAUCCUGCGAGGCAGUGAUCUCAUCUGUCACUUUGUCAACUACCCAAUCAAGCCAUUUUUCCGAACCCAAUUCAAAACACGCGCCCACGGGCGAAGCUGUGCGCCGUGGCUGUAGCGGCUGCUGCCUCUGCUGCCAACGCCUCACAAAAUCCACCCGUGGCCGUCUGCCACAUAAGCUCCAGCGGUCACCAGCUAUGCUCCGUGCCAGCUCGCGAUAUUGCCAGGCCGUGUGGCCGCAGCAGCUGUUUGCACAGCUGCCGCGAAGCAAGUCCGCUGCCACAAGAACUCAAACAGGGUGGGUCAGCCGCGCGGCUUCCAAGCGGCUUCCACCUUGUGUGUAUGGACACGCGACGCCUCGGCUGCUGCGGGCUGUGCCAUUUACGGCAGGCUCGCCUGGUACAGCGGGCAGCUGCGGGCAAGACACGGGAGGGGUGAGGAAUGGCGGUCAGAUACGUGACAACGUCGAGGCAGAUGUCCGCGGGGAAGUCCGUGGGCGAAGCCUAUUGAUUUAGAUCCCGCAAGACAACCCACAUUGGCAAGUACGUUGUUGCGAGCGUGUCAAUGCAAACCCAACUCACCAGUUCUUGCUGUCGUCGAACAAGUUGCCGUAGCACGAGCCGCCGGGCGCGGGCAGGCAGAAGUCCGACAGGGGGGUGUCGUUCUUCAGCUCCAGGCAGAUAGUACCGCCAUUCGCCUGGUCCUUGCUCCAGUUCAGGGGGGUAGCCUUGACGGUCUGCUCGUCCACAGCGCCCCAGGUGGCGGACAGCCACUUGCCGGUGCCGGUCUUGGGCUGCACGUACACGCCGGUGAUGGCGCGGCGCUUCUUGUCGUCGGCGUAGAACUCGGCCUUGAGCAGGCUGGUGCUCCGGCCGCAGGGGCUGGUGGCGCUGUUGGGGGUCACAAGGGUGAUGCUGAAGCAGUAAGAGGUGGUGUCCUUGGUGCGGCCGGCCAUAGUGGAAAUGACGGGCGUGAAGGCGAAGGGGGUGGCGCCGGGCGUGGUGACGCAAGCGCACUUGGGGAAGUCCACAGGCUCGGGGGCGCAGGCCUGGGACUGGAAGCCGCUCAGGCAAGACGCAUCCGGGGCCUGUGCGGAGCCGCCGAUGCCGCCGACGGCGGCGUAAGCGCUGUAGCCAGUCAGGAAGGCGGGGCAGCCCUGGACGCCGGUGAUCAGCUGCAGCCAGAAGGGCAGGCGCUCAUCGAUGAAGGGCUGCAGCUCGGCGCCCUGCUCCGAUGAGAAGAAGGUGGCGCACAGCUUGAUCACGUCGCCAGAGCAAACAGCCGGGGCGAAGUUGAUCGCGACGCCCAGGUUCUCGGCCUCGGUCUGGAGCUCGUCGCCGAUCAUAGCAGCGUAGUCGUCGCAGUCCUGCUGGGAGAACUCGUAAGGGAAGACAACGUUGCCGGUCUCAAGGAUGGAGAGGUACACGCAAGCCGUGCAGGGAGGAGGAGGAGACGGAGGAGGCGGGCUGGGGGGAGGAGGGCUCGGGAUGCCGGGCGUGGAGAUAGGGCAGCAGUCGUUCUGGCUGUCGAACAGCGCAGCCGAGCACACACCCUUGGGCAGGCCAGGGGGAGGAAUGCACAGCUCCUCAAGGGAGGUGCAGCCCUUGCCGUUCUUGUUCAGCGACAGGGUGAUGCAAAUCUCAGCACCGUCGCUGGCCAGGCCCAGGCCCAGCUGGGUCAGCACCAGAGUGGUGGAGCCGACGGGGCCAUCGAUGGGCUCGUGGAACGAGACACCAACCUUGGUGGGCACGCCGUUGAUGGUGGCCUUCACCACCUCGCCGAAGACGUCGCACGCCUCGUAGACGUUGAACUGUGGAGAAAGAAAACCAGAAGGGUGAGAAUGGUUUGGACAAGCACGCUAGCAGACGCCAGCAACUCUGCUAGCGACAAGCCGCGAGCGUCGGUUACUGUGAUGCUCUUCGACAUUCCCGCUCGACUUUCUGGCAUAGUCGCAACCACGUGCUUACCUCGAUCUUCUUCAGGUCCGCCUUGGUGCAGCAGUAGUCAGUGCAGCCAGCCGGCACCUUGGCGCUCAGCUUGAAGCAGUACUGGUUGUUGCCCUUGGCAACGACGACAUCACCCAGCUUGUAGGCCGAGGGAGACUUCUUGCACUGGCAGUAGGGGAACGAGGUGUACAAGCCCGACUGAGCACCCUGGGCGGCCCUGCAUUCCGAAGGCACAAGGGCAAAAGAUGUGUUGGUUCGCAUGUGUGCAUCGGCGUGCAGUCUUGAACCCAUGUGUGCAUGACGUCCUAGAGAAGAUGACACUGCCAUGUACUGAUCGAUUGCGCUCCAGGCUCCAUCAAAGGCCCGCCGGCCUAAGCUGGGGAAUGCUGGCGUGCUCCAGUGGCUGUCGAGCGUCCAGGAAAGGCUGAGCUGCCACCGUGAGCUGGGGAUGCUUUCACGUUAUGACCAACACAUCUGUCUGUGACAUACAUCAAGCUAGGGGCUGGAUCGCCUACGCCGCGACAAAAAUGGCGCGACUCCGAGAGAGCCAUCACAGACACUACUCACGCGAAUGCGGCAGCCACGAGAACGGCAACCAGCGAAUAGCUGGACCUCAUUGUUACAGAGGUCGUUCAGCUAAUUAUGGUGACCAUUUGCGCGCCGAGGGCUAUAAAUUCUGCUGGCCGAUUCCGUACGACGGCCCGCCCGCCGUCUGCCUCGACUUCGACUCGCCUCCUGGCACGCUCGACUGGCUUGCUGGCAUUGGUAACAGCCGAAUGCCGAUGCGAUUUAAUCACCAAGCCAAAAUCCACACGCAAUGUCAGCGGGCGGCGAGCGCCCACCAGGUUUUCGCGAUGAACAUGUUUUCGCGAGGCCAGUUUUACUAUAAUAUAAAACAAACUACAAGGUGUGAGCCAUCAAUAGCUUGAUCAAGGAAACACAGGAGUUGGUCGGCCGGAUUGCGGCCUGCCAUAAAUGGAAGGCAAUUUUAGGGUUGAGCCUUGUAACAAAACUGUUAGCAACAAACAGUUUCUACGCAUCUUAAGGGCCCUCUACAGGGCCCUUAAGAAUCGCGACAGCUUAUUCCUCUCAACGGUCGCUCGCUGCCUCUAGGGAUUCUGAGCCGGUCUCCUUUCUUAAAAGCAUUUGUAUCUAUACUGACUGUGGGUCUUCUAUAGACGACGGCCUGCUGUCCUGUACGCCAUUCAUAUGUUCUGGGUCUCUGCGGCCGGGAAGGGCCCGGGCAUACUCUCCUUAAUGGUCAAAGAUAAUGGGUAGACAACCGUCACCGUAAAACUCCAGCUUCGGGGCUGACUUCCGGCAAGGUAGUUAUUGGCGCGUCGAACAUCGUGCGGUCGACCUGACCGCGCUCGCUCGCCAGCCUGAAAAAGGACUACGUUUGUGGUGCUUAAUACAGCUUUCAUACGACAUGCUGUGCUGCCUCCAUCGCGUACUGCCAGCUGACAGUCUGAAGGGCAAACGACCAUGUUGUGGUUUUGGUGGCCGCGUGGCGCCCGUUCGCCUGCGCGCCCGCCCACCGCGCCCCCGGCCAAGCUUGAGUUUCUGUGGCAUCCUUGAACUGCAUGCCCCAACAGCUCACCUAAGUAGCUUCGGUUAGUCUGCAGGUGCCAAGACGCCUUCGCGGCACUUGGCGCAGCCGGGGCUGGCCGUGCCGUUGAACACCAGGGCCAGGGCUCCCCCUCCAGCUUCCCUGCGCCAGGGCUUUGGGGGCGCAUUUAAGUGGGCGGGUCCGCAAGUGGGUGGGUCUGCUGUGAAGCCCUUCAUGGGCUGAGUCCGCUUGUUGCCUUGCUCAACAAGGGCUGCCAGGUUUGGAGUGGCCGAGGGUAUGGGCCUUUGCAUGUAGUGUCACAAGGGUGUGACUACAGCACCCGAUGUGAAGAGUCUGACGCGGGAUUGGCCCGUCAGGCACGCCACGCACCGGCAGGCACGUGCGGGAGCUGGAGCUUCACAUGUUCAUUGUGGCAAUAUGCAGCUAGUUAUUUACAUAUUCUGCAAGGGGCACGUUCCGACUCCCAUGCUCCCAUAUGCAGUUGAGAAAUGCGUCUAACCUGACAGGCUCAGGUCUCAGCAUGACUGCGCGCAUGCUUUUACUGAAGUCCAAGCCACUGCUCCACACCACACGCAACGCCUCACGUUGAUGCCCUGUGCCGCGACAAAACUGAAGAGCUGCGCGCGCCAUCUAUCUCCCGCCGGGUUCACCCAUGCCAUCGGUGAGUGAUUAUCGCACUGCAGUGUAACAAGCGAUCCGCCAAAACCCCACUCCAUGAGUCAAGUUGGGCCCUGAUAGCAUGUGAUGGCUCGGCGUCUUCGGGUGCUGGGACUGUCCCCUCUGUAACAUCCGCAUUCAUGAGUCUGAUUCCGCUCAUUCAAUGCGAAUCUGACACAGUCCACACGCCAACAAAACCUUCUUCAUCAGAACUGCCCCCUAAAGCCUCAUGGUGCAAGAUGUGUGGUCCCCCCCGCAUGGGAAAAGUGGGCUGAGCCCACGCGACGUCUCUAGUCUGAGGCCGCAAGCGUCUACCUCACCUCCCUGACAUAGCCGGGGUCGGUUCGUACAGGCACGGCCCGCCAUGUGUCCAGCCACGUCCCGCUGCCAAGCAACAGCACAGCCAGCAAUCAACCAAACAGCAGGAAACCCUCUAACAUUCCUCACUGCCCCGGCCUACCACAUACUGCCCAGCCAUCCCAAUACAGCCGCCACCUUCUGUCAGCCAGCCAUGGGCGCGACCGUCCACAGCGUUUACCGUCGGUUACGAGGUAACAUGUGAAUUCGCAACUUGCGCUACUGACUGCCUACUCUCGUGCCGCCUGCAAGCCCACUCCGCCUUCCGCUCUGGUCCACGUACGCAUUAGUUCCGCAACACACGUCAAAUACUGUGCGGUGCUAUGCUCGCCAGCAAAGACCCUAACCAGACACCGGCCGACCUCAACCUGCGCGCCGGCGCCGGUGCCGCUUGUUGGGCGCCUCAAGGUGAAAACAACAACCCAAAGCGCAACUUACCGCGUAUACGCAUAGGAUGAAUAAGACCCGUAAGUUCAGAUCUCCACCUCAAACCUCACCAGCCCAGAGUUUGCUUGGCAUGCAUGAAGCAUUUCGACGCCCUUCCGACCGCUCCAGUACCCACAAAUCAAGUUGAAUGGGGUUUCUCCAGAGCAGCUGAGGCUGGCUAUGGGCAUGGGUUGACCAGCAGCCAGGUACAGAUAGAGAUCUUUUGCCUCAGCAGUUUGUACGACCAGACUGCAUGACGCCUGAUGACAAAGUCGUAUGCACGAAACCAAACUAACUGCGAACUGCGAUCCAAGUUGUAGGUAUCCGGAGUACCGUACCUGACCCGGAUACCACACUGUUCAUAUCGCGCAGGGGCCGAAGGGGUUGCGGAGCCAACCGCCACCGGUGCCAUGUGUGAUCCAGUCAUAACGCAUUUUAGUAGACUUGAAUAAAGCUUGUUGGCCUGUUUACCAUUAAUAUGGCAUGGUUCGGCCUUACGGAAAAUGCACAGCAAUGCUGAACACGCUGGGGUGGCAACCGUGGCGCAUGUACUGCGCAACAGCCCUAGCCUGCCCCCAGUAGCACUCGCAUGCCUGCGCCCGAACUCUUGCAUCGCACACCACACUCAACCGUGUAUUGUUGCAGCAACUCAAGUCCUCGUCACGCCCCACUUGGCCCUCAUUCGGGUCAGCAGUGAUGCAUACAAGUACAUGGUAGCGCUGUCGCUGCAACCUCCAGCGCUCGCAGCUUCCGGCGGCGGCACACGCUCCCGGCGGCGGUGGGAGUACGAAGGAGGGCACGGGCCCACGCCAGCCUUGCCGCCGGCAUGACUGGCCACUCCGCCAUGUCUGUCUGCGGCGCUACCCGCAGCUGCCCCUCAACCCUUACACAGGCGCCGUCGCUGCCACCGGCUCCGCAGCAAUAGCUCAAGGGGCAGACGCCGCUGCCGCCGCUGCCGCCGUGUCACCAGCCUCAGCGCCGCUGGCGGCGGCAGCCGCCCUCCCUGCCGGCGAUGCAUCUGUAGCACCCGCGCCACCGCCGCCGUAGCUACCGCCCGUGGCGGCGGCGGAGCCGGCAGAAGCGGUUGACGCCGGAUACAGCAACGGCAGCGUCACGCUCUCCGACGGUGCCAACACGGGCAGGACGCCGCCACCGCCGCCGCCGCCGCCGCCGGUGCCCACGAGCGAGAGGUGUGACGACGAUGCAAUCCCCAGACCCAGUGACGGCAUGAGGCCGGCGAAGCUGGGGGCCUGCGAUGAGAAGGACAGCAGCCCACCCACGCCCAGGCCCGUGCCGGCGCCGCUGACCUCGCCGCCCGCCGCCGCGGCGGCAGCGGCGGCGGCCGCAACCGCGGUGGCGGCGGCCGCCGAGACGCUGGUCGCCGUCGCUGCAACCGACACGCCCAUGGCCUCAGCUGCGCUGGCGAACGCUGGCAGGGCCCGCGGCCUUGCUGCGAAGGCGGAGGUGCUGCCGACGCCUGCGGCGCCUGUAGCGCCGGUAGCUGCUGCGGCUGCAUCGCCACCGUUGCCUCCGGUGCUGGCGUCAGAGGCAGGCGGCGCAGCCGGCGGCGGCGCGUGUGACGGGGCUGCAGGCGUUGGCGAAGCGGGAGCACCAGAAGGCGCGGCGGCCGCGGCGCGGCCGAGGGCGCGCAAAGGCGUUGGUGUGCCGCCGCCGAUGGCAGCGUACGGCAGUUGGUUGCUGCCUGUGCGGAUGGGCGGUGCUGGCGGCGACGGCGGAGCUCCCAUUGCCGCCGCGAGUCCUAGGUCCGGUGCGCUGUUGAGCGCCGCCGCCGCCGCCGGCGGCAGCAGCCCGUUAUGUGUGACCCCUGCCGCUGCCCCCGCUACCGCCGCCGAGCCCGCUUCCGACACCGUGUUCAGUCCUGCAGCCGCCGCCGCCGCCACCGCCUCUGCCGCCGCCUCUGCUGCCGCCCCCAUCUGUCUGAGCGCGCGGGGUGAUAGCGGUGAGCCCAGCAAUGACGGCGCUGGCGCCGCCGCUGCCGCUACCGUCGAUGCCUCAGCAGAUGCCAGCAUCACGCGCGAGCUGCUACUGCUUCCAGCACCGCCGCCGCCGUCGCCACCAACACUGCUGGCUGCUGCAACGUUCCUGCUACUGCCACUGCCCCCCGGAAACAAGCCGUGCGGCAGCGUCCCCGGCGGCACGGGGCUUCCCGGCGGCCCCGAGCCCGAGGCGACUGCCGCCGCGCCCUUGGCACUGCUGGCGCCGCUGCCGCCGCCGCCAGGGCUGACGCCGCCGCCGCCGCCGCCGCGCGGGCGGCUGGUAAUUCGUUUCAGCACUGGACCGCCGCCGCCAAGCAGCCCGCCCAACGCCCCCCCCAGUAGUACUGGCGGCGCCAUGCCAUCCUCAUCAUCCGAAUCGUCCAGGACCACAGCCGCCGGCGGCACCGCCAGUGACAGCGGCGGCGGCGGCUCCGCGCCGCCGCCACUGACCGCUCGCGCCAUGGCUAGACGCGACGCGCUGCUGCUGCCGCCUGGCUCGUGAACUGCGUCAGCAGGUCCCUCUUGUAACCAAUGCAAUCUGCCGCCGCCGCCGGCGCUCGUGCCAAUGCCGCCGGAACGCGCGGCGGCGGCGGUACUACGGCCGCUGCCGCUGCCGACGCUGCCUCGCGCGACGCGAACCGCUGCGUCCGUUGCCGCGCCUGCCUCCGCCGACUGCGCCACCCCCGCGGCGGCCGCCAGGCCGCCGCCGCCGCCGCCGCCCUCCGGCUGCGCCGGCGCAGCCGCCGGCUGCCGCGCCGCGGCGGCGGCGGCCUGCGCCAGCAGCGCCUGCUGCUGCUGCUGCUGCUGCUGCUUCCGGGCCUUCUUUGCCGCCAACAGGUCAUUCAGCAGCCGCGUCAGCACGUCCAGAGCGUCCAGGAAGCGCGGCCGGGCAGCGGGUGAGGCGGACAGGCAGGCGGUGGCGAGGUCGCGGUAGGCGGGCGGGCAGGCGGAGGGCUCGGCGGGCCAGGUGUAGAACUCGGCGGGCAGGUUGGGGAUGCGGCGGCGCAGCGGCAGGCGGCGGGCCACUGUGGAGCCGUGGAGCAGCUCCCACAGGAUCACGCCGAAAGAGUAGCUGCCGGGGGGAAAGGGGGGAGGAGCGGGAGGGAGGCUGGGGUUAGCCAUUCAUCCAAUCCCAACGGGGCACCAGUCCAAUGAAUCGCAGCCCGCUGUCGGCUUGGGCGUACAGCGUGUACUCCGCCCCUUCCCCCUGCCCCUUCCCCUGGCCGCUCUGUGCCCCAUCCCGUCCCCCUGCCGCUCCCUGCCCCCUGCCCCUUCCCCCUGCCCCUCCCCCUGCCGCUCCCUGCCUCCCGAGCACGCCCCCCUCCCCCUCCAGCCCCACCCACAGGUCUGAGGCGGUGGUGGCUCGGCCGUCCUCCACCAGCUCCGCGGCGAUGUAGAAGGGCGUGCCGCGGCUGCGGGGUGAGGCAGCGGUGCGGGGGGAGGGGGCUACAUUCAUGACUAAUUCAACAUGACAAGGGGUGUAAUUGGGUGUGCGGGUGAAGGCCGGAGUCCCCAACUGACACGUGUGAAGUAUGGGGGGGCGGGGUUGGGUGUGCGGGCGGCAUGUGGGGCCGGGCUCACGGGCUGGUGUGAGUGGCGUGUUGCAGGACUGGCGCGAGCGGCGGGAUCAGCAGCAGCAAAGGCAGGAAGGCGGACACGUCACACGCGCGCGCUGACCUCACUCGGGCCCCCAUGACCUCCGCCCCGCAACACCGCAAUCACUCCGUCUCGCAUGUUCGGCUACCCUUCCUCCGGCUGCCUCCUCCGUCUUGCGUGCACGGCUACCCCCGCCCACACCCCGCCCCCCACUCUCACCAACCUGUUCCUACUGCCCCAACCUCGCAGCCCCCCUCCCAUCACCCCCAUGGCCCCCGCCCCCCCCCCCAUCUCACCACUCCGGUCUCCACAUGAACGUCCCCCCUACUUGGUAACGACUUCGUCUGCAGCCUUCCGUGCCGCUCCUGUACCGCUUCUCCAAACAUCCUUGCAAUCCCCCCCCCGCCCUCACCGGAUGUUGCUGAUGUGGCUCUCUCCCGCCUUGAGUUUCAGCGCCAGUCCAAAGUCCGCAAUCUUGGCUGUGAAGCCGUACCCACUGGCGGCGUUGGAGCGAAGCAGGAUGUUGGCGGGCUUCUACGGAGGGCGGGAGGGGGCGGCGGAGGGGAGCUGUUGAUGUAAGGAACGUGAUGAUAAGAUAAUUAAUAGGUCACAAGUCAUGGUCACAAGUUUCAAAGUGCCCACGUCUAGUGGGAACAGGGGAUGGGGGAGCCGUUCAUGUGAAGGACGGAGUGGUUAGGUCACAAGUGUGAAGUGCCGACGUCCAGAGGGAACAAGGGGGGAAGGGAGGGAGGGUUGGAUGAUGGGAGUUGGUGGGAUGCUGUGGAGGGUGGGGUGAAAGCGAAGCAGGAGGAGGCAGCAGGGGUAGUGGGCGGAGCGGGACGCAGCUGCGUGGCGCGGUACGGAGCGGGAAUGGCACGGGCUGGGGGACAGAGAGGGAAGGAGGCGGAGGCGGGGGCGCGGAAGGGCGGGUUCCCAAGGGGCUGGCUGGGUGUUGGUUUCGUUUGGGGUUUACCUCAUCACACACACACAUGCACUCGCGCGCGCUCCGCACCAGGUCUCCGUGUAUGAUGCUGCGGGCGUGUAUGUAGCUCAUGCCGCUGGCCACCUCGAUGCCGAUGCGCAGCGCCGUCUCCAGGUCCGCCAGCCCGCUACUGCCGCCGCCGCCGCCGCCGCCGUCAGUGUGGGUCGCUGCGAAGCGGCCGCCGUCCAGCGCGUCCUUAAGCGUGCCGCCGUCGCAGUACUCCUGAGGGCGGGCGGAGGGGAGCGGACCGGUGGGUUACAUUCAUAAUUAGGUAAGGAAAUGGUAUAAGNNNNNNNNNNNNNNNNNNNNNNNNNNNNNNNNNNNNNNNNNNNNNNNNNNNNNNNNNNNNNNNNNNNNNNNNNNNNNNNNNNNNNNNNNNNNNNNNNNNNUGGAAAGUACAACACCCCUCCCCCCCUUACAACAUUUCUCCCCCCCUACAACACCCCUCCCCCCUUACAACACCCCUCCCCCCCGCACCUGCUCCUUGAAAGAGUUGCCUCCGCCUCCGCCGCCACCUCCGCCCCUCUCGCCUCCCUCGCCUCCCUCCCCGGCGCCGCCGCCGCCGCUGCCGCCCACAAAGGCCUGGAACAGCAGCGUCUUCACCGCCACCUCCAGCCCGCGCCACUCGCCUGCGAGACACACACACGCAUGCACACAUGGACAUGGUCACGUUCGUGCACAGUGCCAACCCUUCCCAACACACUCAGUCACAACACACGCCACGCAGGAGCCCAAGCCGCUUUGGAAGCAGCCCUCUACCCCCGCAACAGGUUGCUGUCUGUCCCUGCCCCCCUUGCUGCCCCCACCCCCCCAUCGGCCCUCGGCCCGGACGUCAGCCCUGCAAACCAUCACAUCCCAUCCUUCAGCCCCCCCUCCCUCCUUUCCCUACCCAUCCAUCCCCAUCGCUUCCUCUCCCCUGGCUGGUAUCUCGUCCUCGCUCCUUUGCAUUGCGUUCGGUUCAGUUUGAGCUGGUAUCUACAACCCCCCCUCUCCAGCCCCUCUCCAGCCCCCCACCCACCCUUGUAGACCACCCCGUGCGCGCCCGCUCCCAGCUGGCACGUGAUGCUGAUCUGCUGCUGCUGCGCCCCCAGCUCCGACUGAAACGCCGCAAGCGCCGCAUACAGCUCCGUGCGUGGAUUGCUGCUCGCAGCCGCAUCGCUGCCGCCGCCGCCGCCGCCGCCGCCAGUGCCGCCGGUGCCGCCAGUGCCAGUGCCCGCGCUGCGGCCGCUCAGGCUGCUGCCGGCGACGCUGCCGGGCUUUCCGGCGCCGCCGCUGCCGCCGCUGGCAACGCUGGUUCCAGAGACGCGCGGCUUGCGGCCAGUGGCGGCGGCGCCGCCGCCGCCACCGCCCUGUGGCGGGCGCUGCGCGCCGCCCGGUCCGGCGCCGCCGCUGAUGCCGCCGCUGCCACUGGCACUACCGGGUCCAGGCGAGCUCGCAGUGAGCGGAUUGCUGCCAGAGGCUACAGAGCCCGCGCCCACCUCGCUCCCCGGGGUCCGCCGCGUCCCCGCCGCCGCCGCCGCCGCCGCCGUCACGUCGCCAGCAGCGCCCGGCGGCGAUUGCAGCGCGCGCCGCCCCGACCGGGAUCUCUGCCGUUCACGUGACGUCGCCACCGCCGCCGCCGCCGCUAGCGUGACGCCCACGCCCGCCGCCACCGCGCCGGCGCCAUUGCCACUGCCGCCGUCGCCGCCGCCGCCACUCUCCAAGUCGAGGUGCGGCUCUAUUUCCGGGAAGGCACGUGACGCCGCGCUAGAUGGCAGGCCGCUGCCGCCGCCGGCGGGGCUGGCGGCGCCGCCGGUACGGUGGUUGUACGGCCCGUGCUCGGAUCCAACCACCGACCGUGGCGGUGACGUGGCUCCGGAUCCAGGUGUGGCGGCGCCGCCGGCUGACGCAGCCGCCGCUGCGGCGGCGGCGCGUUCCCGGUGCGAGCGCAGCAGUGGCGUUGGCGUCUGCGGGGGAGCGCCGGACGAUUGCGUUGUGUCAACAGGCAUCACCAUACCCGCCCUGCAUGCUGAACACACACACACACACACACACACACACACACACACGCGCACACACACACACCUAUACACACACACACACACACACACACACACACACACAUCAAAACACACGCAUACCCACGUGCUCGCCGCUGGUGCCGCCGCCGCACCUCCCGCGGCUGCUGCGCCCGCUGCCGCCGCCGCUGCGCCGCCCAGUGCCGCCCUUGUCACUGCCCACAAAGCUCCCGCCACCGCCGCCGCCGCCGCCCGCCGCCCGCUCCUGCGCCCGCCGCCGGGCGCGGCGGCGGUGCAGGAACACUAUGCCCGCCGCCACCGCCGCCGCCAGGGCAAUGAGGCCGGCGGCGGCGCCUACGGCGGGGCCAAUCACCGCCCCGAUGUCGGUUGAGGCGGGUGCCGCCGGCACAACCACCACAACCGCCGCGGGCUGGGCGGGCGGCGGCGGCGGCGCUGCGCCGCCGGCGAGGCCGCCGGCUCCUGCUGCGGUACGGCGAUGGUACGGUGGGUACGGUUAGACGAUUGGUACCGCAGGAGAUGUACCGUAACCUAGAGGCAUGUGUCCAGGAACUGAACACUGCCUGACGGUGUUGCACGGCCUUCGUACAGCUUCGUGAGGUCGAAUGCCGAACGGCCGACUGCACCACCGUACAACGACUCUGCAGCGUGUCCGCAGUUGGCUACUCAGGCACCCCACCAGUCGACCCAGGCACCCACCCGGUGGCGGGACAGCUUGUCCGAAGAUGGCUACCCAGGCAUCCCCCCCCUCGCUCAGUAGCCCCUCGCUCAAUAGCCCCUCGCUCAAUAGCCCCUCGCUCAAUAGCCCCUCGCUCAGUAGCCCCUCGCUCAGUAGCCCCUCGCUCUAUUGCAUUGGGUUCGGUUUAGUUUGGGCUGGUAUCUACACACACAUACACACACACACACGCACACACACACACACACACCAGCCGACCCAGGUACCCACCCGGCGGUGGCACAGCGGCCGUGGGUCCCCCUCCGCCACCGCCGCCGCCGCCUGGCCCCCCGGGCAGCGGCAGCAGCGGCGCGUUGGAGCCGGGCACGGAGGCGGCGGCGGGCGGCAGCGGGCUGGCACGUGGCGGGUCGGGCGGCGGCGGCGGCGGCGGAGGCCGCGGCGGCGGGGGCGGUUCUGUGGUGGACGGGUGGUGGGAGUGGGAGUGUGGAUGCAGGGGGCCCAAGGGGGACAGCUCGGCAGCGCGUGGGCACAUCCCACACACCGGAAUGCCUGAANNNNNNNNNNNNNNNNNNNNNNNNNNNNNNNNNNNNNNNNNNNNNNNNNNNNNNNNNNNNNNNNNNNNNNNNNNNNNNNNNNNNNNNNNNNNNNNNNNNNNNNNNNNNNNNNNNNNNNNNNNNNNNNNNNNNNNNNNNNNNNNNNNNNNNNNNNNNNNNNNNNNNNNNNNNNNNNNNNNNNNNNNNNNNNNNNNNNNNNNNNNNNNNNNNNNNNNNNNNNNNNNNNNNNNNNNNNNNNNNNNNNNNNNNNNNNNNNNNNNNNNNNNNNNNNNNNNNNNNNNNNNNNNNNNNNNNNNNNNNNNNNNNNNNNNNNNNNNNNNNNNNNNNNNNNNNNNNNNNNNNNNNNNNNNNNNNNNNNNNNNNNNNNNNNNNNNNNNNNNNNNNNNNNNNNNNNNNNNNNNNNNNNNNNNNNNNNNNNNNNNNNNNNNNNNNNNNNNNNNNNNNNNNNNNNNNNNNNNNNNNNNNNNNNNNNNNNNNNNNNNNNNNNNNNNNNNNNNNNNNNNNNNNNNNNNNNNNNNNNNNNNNNNNNNNNNNNNNNNNNNNNNNNNNNNNNNNNNNNNNNNNNNNNNNNNNNNNNNNNNNNNNNNNNNNNNNNNNNNNNNNNNNNNNNNNNNNNNNNNNNNNNNNNNNNNNNNNNNNNNNNNNNNNNNNNNNNNNNNNNNNNNNNNNNNNNNNNNNNNNNNNNNNNNNNNNNNNNNNNNNNNNNNNNNNNNNNNNNNNNNNNNNNNNNNNNNNNNNNNNNNNNNNNNNNNNNNNNNNNNNNNNNNNNNNNNNNNNNNNNNNNNNNNNNNNNNNNNNNNNNNNNNNNNNNNNNNNNNNNNNCACCCGCACACGCCGCCCACCUGCAGCGCCGCCGGCUGCGCGCCCGGCCGGCCUAGCCCCAGGUUCAUGAGUGACAGGAAGCGCAGCCGCAACACCGAGUAGGGCGGCACAGCCACCGCGCCUGUGUGUGAUUUAAAGAGCACAAAGAAAACAUUACGCGUAGGACUGUGUGUGCGUGUUGGGAGGGGGAUUCCAGGCACGAUUAGUCAGGAGAAGACGGCAAAGAAGGGUUAAAUGCAGGCGCCAGCACACAUAGGUUGGAUGAGGACAAACCGCAUGGAGGGGGAGUAGCCGUUCAUGGGGAACAGAGUGAUUGAACCAGUCAGCCCCCCAUCCCCGUGCCUGGUUAUCCCCAAUUUUGGGUUGGCAACGACUCCUUGGUUAUUGGGACCUAAUCCGUUGGGCUCGGGCACAUCAUUCCCCCCUUUUCUGCAUUGAGUUCGGUUUAGUUUGGGCUGAUAUCUACAAACGCCCCUGCCUGCCUGCCUGCUCACCGCUGAUGGCCUGCAGGCUGAGCGCCCGCACGGCUGUGGUCUGGCCGUCGCCCCAGAUGGUCAGGUUGGAACUGAGGGCCAGGCCGGCGGAGGGGGCGUACAGCUGGGCCUGAGGGGCAGAGGGGGGGAUUUCAAGGUUACAACAUUAGGGGGGCUACAUUCAUGAUUAGUUAAGGAAGUGGUAGACGGUAGAGCAUCUUGGGGAACAUCAAGGGGGGCCGGGGGUUCCAUGCAUGUCAAGUCAAGACGAGAUGAUGUUGGCAGGUUGUUUCAGAGGUGGGCGGGCGGGUUGGCGAUGCGCCGUUGGGGUGAAUCGGAGGUUGAAUCGGGAAGGUUGGGUUGGGAACGUCGAGCAGACCACCUCCGCCACACGCCCACGCCCACGCCCACAUGCCCCAUUCACACAUGCCGCCCGCCUCCUCAACCCCCCUGCCUGCCUGUGCUCCGCUCGUUCUCGUUGGUUUUGGGUUAGUUUGGGCUGGUAUUUACAACCCCCCCUUAAUUAAUCAUGAAUGUAACCCCCCCCCCCCCCACACACACACACACACACACACCUCCCUCCCCUCUGGCGCUGGACCUGUGGACGCAGUCGGUCAUCGGUACGCGCACCCCUGCGCCCGCUGUCUACUCCGCUACAUUUGCCUGUACCAAUCUUUACAAUCCCCACCCCCCAACCCCUUGACAGUCCCCACUCCUCACCCACACCCCCACCUGCAGUGUGUUGUCCCCCCGCAGCACCACCACGGAGGCGGCGGUGAAGGCGGUGGGGUCGAGCAGCAGGCUGGAGGCGCGGACCGAGGACAGCGGCACAGGGCCCACCUGCGGGGGGAGGAGAGAAAAGGGGAAGGAGGCGGGCGUGGAGGGCUACCGUGAUCCAAAACCCAACCCCGAUCCCCGGUGCCCCCACGCACCUCCCCAAUACCCUCCUCCCCAGCACCUGUCCCCCCCCCCAGCUCCUCCCCAAUACCCUCCUCCCCAGUAUCCUCCUCCCCAUUACCCUCCUCCCCCCCGCCCCCACCCCCGCCCCCACCCCCAAUCUCACCCCCAAUCCCACCCCCACCGCACCGUGCCGUACGGCGCCAGUGUGUCGAGCAGGUCCUGGCGAGAGGCGGCGGCGGUCAGGGGGGCCAGCGCCGCCAGCGGCGUGGCGGUUAUGCGGCAGUUGGUCCACGUCAUGCUGCCGUACAUCCACUCCCAGUACGGCACCUGCAGCGGCGGGCGGCGGCGGCGGCGGCGCAUGCGAAAAAAACAGUUGGGCGUUCAUGCCUGACUGCGCCUUCCCCUCCUGCACCCGGCACAGCGGACACGACAUCCUCCAACCCUCAAAACACACAGGCACAUACACACACACGCACACGCGUCUCCCCCACCUGGAUGCUGCCGUCCCCCGCCAGCGCCAGCCCAGGGCUGUACGACCGGAUGAGGCUGUCGACGCCCUCCAUACCGCCCGCCAGCGCGGCGCCAACCGCCGCCCGCCACCAGGCCAGCUCGCUAACCGACACAACAAACGUCACGUCGGUUGCCGUCAUGCGCAGCGGAGACUCCAGAGAUGCCAGCGGUUGCCUGGUUGGGACGAUAACGGUACGUUUGCGGGUGAGCGCACGCCGAAAACGCAAACGCUUACCACUCAAGUCCACUCCACCCACCCCACCCCGUCCACCUCCUACAAAGCCCACAAUCCAAACCCUGCAAACCCCUCCCCCUCAUUCCAUACUACGGUACCUCCGUUUAUCCACUCCUCCUUGGCUGCCCACCCCCACAGCCACCCCACCCCAUCCCCGCAACCCCACCCCUACCCACCCCACCCGCACACACAACCCCACCCCACCCCACCCCACCCCACCCCACCCGCACACACAACCCCAACCCACCCCACCCCGCACCCCCACCCCACCCCACCCCGCACCCCGACCCCAUCCCCGCACCCCCACCCCACCCCGCAUCCCGCACGCCCAGCCCACCUCUUGAAGUCCAGCAGCCACAGUGCCGCCGUCACCAGCGCCGCCGGGUACUGCGCCGCCGGCCCCAGCGCCAGGCCCGCCACCGUCAGCCGCCGCAGCUCCAGUCGGUUGGCGUCGCCGUCGCCCGCCACCUGAUGGCCGGGAGGGGAGAGGGAGGGGGGAGGGGGAUGUCCGGAAGGGGAGAGGGAAGGGGUGACACUCAUGCUUGUUUAUGAAGUGACGGCGUAGCCAGGGGGGAGGGGGGAUGUUCGGAAGUCUCGGGGGGAGAGGGAGGGGAGGCAUCCCAAACCCAACCAACCCAAGGGGGGUUCCAGUCACACCAGUCCGAAGGGCCGACGGGGCCGGGGUUACGGCGAUCAGGGGAGCCGCAGGAGUGGUGGCACGGUACGACAGUACAGCACGGCACGGUGUGUUUGGACGCGGUGCGGUAGGGUUCGAUGAUGUUCAGCAAUGUAGUGCACAAAGCAGGCAUCCCGUACACACACACACACACACACACACACACGCGCGCGCGCGCCGUACACAGAUACACACACGCGCGCGCUCCCCUCUCUCACCACCAUGAUUCCCGCCAGCUGCCGCAGGUCCACCUGCACCGCCGCGUCGGGCGGGCCUGCGCGGGGGGGGGUACAUUCAUGAUUAGUAUAGGAAGUGAAGUCGUAGGCAGGUGCAGUCGCAUAGUAGACGGGCGGGGGGAAGAGGAGGGACAGGCGGGACAGGCGGGGCAACCGGACCGGACAGGCGGUCAGGGUGAAGUGCGGAGGAGCUUGAAACAACACCGAUACCGUCUGUGACACACCCGUGCAGUCGGGCACGGACGUAUGAUGGCACAAACCCAGCAGUUCCGCCUGUGUGGCGCCGCGCGUUCCCCCCUCCUCCCCCUCCUCCUCCCCCUCCUCCUCCCCCUCCUCCUCCCCCUCCUCCUCCCCCUCCUCCCCCUCCACCCUCCUCCUCCACCCCUCCCCCUCGCCCCCCUCCUUCCCCCACUCCUCCAACCCCCUCACCCGCUAUGACGGUGCGGUUCACGGCCGACAACGUGCCGGCUCGCAUAUAGCUGGUGUCGGCACUGAUGUUGGCGCCCACCAUCGCAUACAGCGACCCAAGGGACAGCAGCGGGUUGAUGCGCGCCAGGGAGCGGGCCAGCUGCUCGCCGCUGCCCACGUAGGAGGCCACGCAGGGCAGGUACAUGGGCUGCAGGGCGGCUGCGGGCGGGGAGGGGAAGGGGAGGGGAGGGGGGGAGGAGGGGGAGGGGGGAAUGGGAGGGGGAAGGCAGGGGGGUUUAGGGAAGGGGGGCAGAACGCCAGGCGGAGGGGAGAGGGGGCGGAAAGACGGCGGGCCUGCACGGUGGGCACGGCAGGGUGAAGGCACCAGAGGUGGGGGUUCUGCAAGAACGACUCCCAAACCCCAACCUCCAACCCCUCACCUGCGUUCGACAGUGGGUCCGUGGCCGCGGUGAAGAUGGCGGGGGCGGUGCUGUUGGUAGCCUCAGGGCCGCAGCGUAGUGACACGUUGUAAACCGACAGCGACACGCCCCCACCGCCUCCCCCCGCUACCCCCGCCGCCGCCGGCACAACCAGCCGCCGCACGCGCACGCUCCACGUGAACACCUGUUGUGUUGCGCCGUGCAGGGGGUGUAGAGUGGCGUCGGAGUCAGGCCAGGUUGGGGCCUUCUAGUGAGGGACGGAUAGUCGCGGUUGCCUUGAUUGUAUUCCAUGAAUUCACAGUGUUAGCAGCAGAUGCAAGCGGUGCCUGGUAUGCGCCGUGUGCGGUGUGAUGCGUGGGUGCCAAACCCUGUCUCGGAGUCAGCGUGCUUCACCCCACCCCAUCCCACCCCAGCCCCGGCCUUUCCCGGCCUCCGCGUCCUUUCCCGGCCCUCUCCUCCCGCCAGCAGCUUGCCUCGUAGCUGAAGUCUGGCAUUUGGUCGCACACGUAGUCGCGCAGUGCGCUGACAACGCUGCAGUUCACGUUGAUGGCGAUGUUCCGCAGCACCAUCUGGGAGGGCGGGGCGACGUCGAACAUGGGCAGCUGCAGGAACGACGCCGGGUUGGAAAGGUCCAACGAUGUGUCGUUCGCCAGCACCAGUCCCAUGUUUGCGAGCUCGAGCAAUGUACCUGACGGCAAAGUGCCACAGCAACAAUUCAGAAACCAUCGUUAUACGGUCGCCUUUGCGAGCCGAUGACCCCUCGUGUGCAAUUUCGCGAUAUCGCUGCACGAAGUUCAUACUGUAGCUGUUUAACCGUGUCGAAAGCAAAAUGCGACGGAACAAAGUCAACUUGCUUGCAACGAGCAACUCACCGUUCUGCAAGCGAAUCGUGCCGUUUAUCGACGGGAGUGACAACCAAACGCCACGGCUGCCGUUGAUUGUCAACGUGCGACCAUCGACGAUGACGGGCGUGGUGUCCACCGCCAAGCUGCGAUUCAGCGACACCACGCCCUGCACCUCCGAUGAUAGCAAAGACUCAAACGACUGAGUCUGGCUGCUCGCAAGCUGCAAUACGAGCACAAGGGCAAGCAGCGCCCAAACAAAAGCCGCUCCCCUGCUGCACCGUGGCUUCAUAUCCACCUGCUCAGCUACACUACGUCACUAUGCCAAAGCCUAACAUAGUCAUAGUCGCCAACCCCAUGGUGGGAUGGGCGCACGCGUCUGGAAAGUUACAAUAGCUUUGCUGGCGGUGUGUUGAAGUUUGUAUAAUUAUAGGCGAUACCGUGUAUCAAGAGCUGGCUGGGGAUGCUUCGACCACCCCGCCGGAUGUGUGACCUGGUCAUUGCAGGAUAGGGUUGCAGGGUCCCCCGCCCUUGCAGUCUGCCUGCCCGCGUGUCAAGUGUGGCGCUGACGCCGCUUGACGCACCCAGUAUCCCACACACACUCAAUGCGUCGCAAUGUCGAGCUACUACCGCGCACCACGCGCGCGCGGGUGGGCGUGGCUUAACUGUGCGGGCGCGCACAAGCGUCGAGGGAGCCUCAGCAGCUGAGGGCAAGGCCGGGGACGCCGCGUGCCCGAAGGCCCUGGUCACAAAUGCGCAGGUUCGCUGUUACAGGAUCACAGUCGGUCAGUCGCAACAUGCCGUGUUGCCAAUUUGGCAUUGAUUGCAACGUGGCGCUAUGGCGUCAGCUGGCAUGCUUGUGAUGACACCGACACGAGGCCAAGCAGCCCACAUCUUAGCUGGAGCUUAGCUAUUGCAACGCAUGUCAUCAGCCUGUGACACUCACGCAGUCAGGGUGUCCUGCUCACAGUGACGCAAUUGCAUGGCCAACAUUACCACUCAGAUUACCACUGCCUCCUUAUCUCCUCACGCAUGUGUACACAUUUACGUGCGCCCACACGCCCACACUGGUUACCCUGCGUCCCUGUCCAAGACCGGCCGGAUGGCCUACGAUGAACGUACAAUUUCCAGCAACUGACAGUACAGCCCAGCGCGCUUCGCUUGGACUCUGGGUCUGGUUCUGGUAGCCCCCACCGUUGCAGCCAAGUGCGUGGAAGGUGCAUGCUACUGCGCACGGCACCGCCACACGAUCCCCCAUUCCUCCCCGCCCCUGCCUACUGCCAGCGCUGUCUGCUCAUCUCUACGCUCACCAAGGGUAGAUCACUGUCGGACCCGUGGGGAGCGCUUGCCCGCCGGCGCUGCCAACUUGCGCUGAGCCGCUAUGCCGCGCAUCCUCCCCGCCGCUGCUAUCACUGCCAAUUCCACUGCCGCCGCCGCUAAAGCGCCAUGAGUCAUCCAGAGACAUGCGGCGUGCAAGCCGCCGCGGACCUCGACGCGUCGCGGCGGCGUCGCCCGCCCCGCCCCGGUACCCCUGCUCAUGCUCUUGCGCCGAGCCGCUGUGCCUCUCGCUGCUGCCCUCGCUACUGCUCUUGCUGCCGCUGCAGCCGCAGCUGUCGUCACUGGCACUGUCCGCCAUGUUUGCUGCCUCUGCCGCACCUCUCCGGCGGCCCGCCUGCCCCGUUAAGCAUCCAUGGCUAUCGCCACCGCCGGUGCUACUGCCACGUGCGUCAGUGGCUCUCGACCGCCCAUCAGCGCCGCCGCCGCCACCGCCGCUGCCGAAGACACCAGGUGCGCUGCUGGCGGCUGCGCUAGAAGGAGCCCCGAUGCCGUCACGAAGGCCCAACGUCGCAUGCGCGUCCACCGUCGCCGCUGCAGCCGGCGCCAUCACCUUGACUGCGAGCUGAGAGCGGCCCUCGUCUUUGUCCGCGUCUCCACCGCAGCGUUCGCUGCUGCUGGCGCCGCCGGCACCCAGACCACGACCCCGCUUCCAGCCGCACGGCCCCCCUGCCCCUCCGCCUCCGCCUCCGCCUUCCCACUCUGCUCCUGCAGCGCCCGCUGCUGAUGAUGCUACUGCUGCCAGUGAUGUUGCUGCUGCAGCCAGCAUUGGAGGUGCGAGUAAAGAGCCGCCGCAGCUGGCGCCCCACACGCCUGAGCCGCUGUGACGCCGCGGGCGCCACGCAGGUGCCGCCGCCGUCGACGUUGCAGCAGAGGCGGCGGCAGU